CCACUCCUCUGUAGAAACAGGUCUGUCUCCCUAUCAUUGUGCACCUUUCACCCACCUACAGCUGACACAACAAAAACCCAAGUCUCCCUAGAAUCCGACAUCAAAAUCCAACAGAAACCCAGAAACAAGAAGCUUAACGUCCCCAUACCUCGAAGCCUCCGGAAGAAAUCGAAAACCAAGGCCGAGAAACCAGAGGAACCGGAAGAGGAGAUAAAACCCACUUCGAGAUUGUGGUUCGGGAGCUGAAAGGCUGUUUUCUAGCUCUGGUUUGGGGGAGAAAAUCAUGGAUGGUGAGGACUAUGGUGGGGGGAAGAAGAAAGAGAGUGUUUUGCAGACGCUGGUGGUGGGGGGCGGUGUGGGGAAUAGUGGCGGGAAGAUUUGCGGCGGCGGCGGUGGCGGGAAAGGAUCAGACGGCGGAGAAGGAAGUGGGUUUGGUUUCUUCGAGGGUAAUAAUCGUGGGAGUGGGAGUACUGAUGCUUAUUAUCAGAAGAUGAUUGAAGCUGACCCGGGAAAUGCUCCUCUUACUUGGCAACUAUGCAAAGUUUUUAAAAGAGGUAAACUUGUAAACUAAACAACACUUUCUUGGAUUAUUGUUUUCUGUUUGGUUGCUGAGAAAAUUUAUGAAAAGAAUGGAGAUUGUCAUCCUUAAUUAAUUGACCAUCUUAUAACGGGAAGUGAUUUUCACGCAUCUAAAGAAAACAACAAAGGUAGAUUACACCGCAAAUUCUAGAUGUUCAUGACACUAGAAAUGUUCACACAAUUGGUCUAAAUAUUUUACGUGAAGAUUUAAUGUUCGAUAAAUUAGGAGUGUUUCUGAUUAGUUGUGACUAAUGCGAAUAGGUCCGAGGAGAUUAUGAGAAAGCAGAGGAGUAUUGUGGAAGAUCAAUCUUGGCGAACCCGAGUGAUGCGAAUACCUUAUCACUGUACGGUGAUCUAAUAUGGAAUGCUCACAGGGAUGCUGAACGAGCUGAGAAUUAUUUGAUCAAGCUGUUAAAACUUCCCCAGACGACUGGUAAGAAAUAGAACAAGCUCCCCUUUGAUCAAACUUCCUCUUCAUGUCUUAGUAUAUAAUAUAUUGCUUGAAUCGGAAAAUCGGAACAAGUUACAGCUCUUAUUGCAAUUGUCGUGUUAUCGUUUUCUUCUUUAGCUUAUAGAGAUAGAAAACUAAAGGUUAAGGGUUGAGUAUGAUUUUGCUCGGUGAACAUUCCUUCUGUAUAUUCAUCUUUACAUAGAGAUUACAAAUUUAAAGGUUAAGGGUUUAGUUCGUUUUCUUCUUUAGUUUAAAGAUUCUUGCGUUUGUUGCGGCUUCUGUUGGCCAGAGGAAAUAUUUGAAUUUCCUCGUGGCGGGCUGGAUGGUUUAUCAUAUAGUACUCGACGACUCGUGUUUGAUCAAAUUUGAUCAAAUCGUUAUACAAACAUAACUUUUCCAACCAUUUAUACAUUUUGGGAUGGUGUUCAAAUAGAUGCUCCUCUUUAAAUCCUUGAUGAUCAACCGUGUUCUCAUGGUUUCCGCUAUGGAACAACUCAAUUGGUGCUUUUGGAGUAUGCAUUACUGCGGCAUUAGCGAAUCUAAGUUCGAUGUUUUUGAGUUCCUAAUGUUUAUAAUCUUGUUCGAUUACAAACGAGUGUUGUAUAUUUCUCAAUAUGCUCGAUUUGCUCAAAUUUUUUCUGUCCGGAUAUAUUUUGAGUAUACUCUCUCUCUCUAUCGCACAGACAUAAUUUUGAUUAGUAAUGAAAUAUUUCUAGGAGAUCUUUGUUGAUCUGUUUUUCUUGGUUAAUUAUUGUUUAAACUAAUGUCUCAACUCCACUCAUUUUGCAGUUAUGUCCUGGCUUCAUAUGCUCAUUUCCUUUGGGAUGCUGAAGACGACGAAGAUGAUGAAGAAAAUCAAGGGGUUCAACGUGAAACCGACCGGAGCCACACGUCCUCGUCGAAUUUCUUCCAUGGAUCUCCUCACCACUCUCCUUUAACUGCAGCCUCUUAAUAAGAGAUAUUAGCUGUGACUUUGUAAGAUAAUUAAAAUAACAAAUUAGCUGAUAUAUCAUAUGUAACUUCUACCUUUUGUCCUCUUAUUCCAUAUAUAUUUACAUACAUAUACAUAUAUACAAUAUAUAUUACAUGCUGUGGUGGUCAUCUUCCUGGUGUUGCUUUCUGUUAAUAUGCUCCGUCCAAAUAAAAAAAGACCGGGCGGACUUUGUGGACUUCCUUUUGUAUUAUUAUUCAAAUAAUUUAAGGGUUUAUGUGAUUAGAGAGCAAGAAAAGACUAUUACACAUCCUCUGUGAAAUAUCUAUCCCCACCGAAUGAGCUUUAGAAAGGACAGUCCUCUUAUCCUCUGUGCUAUGCAUGUGAUUUUAUUUCUAAUUUUGUGCAUACAGGGAAGAAAAGGAAAGAACCCCUUUUUGGGGUCUAAUCAUUUGUCUUUUUCAUCCACUUGAGAGAAAUUUCGUCUCUUUGGUUAGGAAAGUUCUCACAUUGUGUAAAACUAAUAUGGGGUCUAGUGGAGUUGAAACGUCAUACGGAUGAUGUAAUUGACAUGCCAACUCAAACCAAGUUUUCUCCCCCCUUUAGUAUCUUAUAACUCUAAUGCAUUUGGGUCUAUAAUUUUACAUGGAUUUUAAUAGAAGGCAGCACAAAUGGAUUAAACGCGUGAAAGGAUUGCUCUUUACUUAAUCAUCCAAAAUUAUAGGGUGACAAUUAGCAAAGAAAGCAUGGUCAUUUCUUCUCCGGUUUUCAUCCUAUGCCUUUCGAUACUUUGAGUUGUUGGAUUUUAAGUACUAACGAACCGUAUGCAUGUCAUUCAGGUCACUUAUGGGGAGAAGCACAUCUGAUAUGUUUUUUUUUUUCUAUAAGUGAUUAUGACCCUCUCAAAAUCACUUUCAAACAGAAAUCUGAUUAUGCGUCGAAAGCAUGGUCAUUUCUUCUCCGGUUUUCAUCCUAUGCCUUUCGAUACUUUGAGUUGUUGGAUUUUAAGUACUAAUGAACCGUAUGCAAGCCAUUCGGGUCACUUAUGGGGAGCGCAUCUGAUAUGUUCUAUUUUUCUAUAAGUGAUUAUGACCCUCUCAAAAUCACUUUCAAACAGAAAUUUGAUCAUGUGUUGAAAUGCAAAAGAUGAAAAAAAUGAAAGAUGUGCAGAAGGAUCAAGGUAUUGUGAUUUGUGAUCAGGUAGAUUGAUCCAAAACAAAAUUUAUUCUCUUUGUGUGGGUGUUCUGGUAUCUUCAUUCUUUGUGGUUUGUAGGGUUUUGUAUUUCAGCCUAAGUUAUGUUAUGUAGGUCGGCCGAUAAAUACAGCUUUGGCUUUCAUCUGUUGGUGACAAGCUGAUGUCAUUCUCCACAUUUUGAUUUUAUUGAUUCAUUGGUCUGCUGGUUUAUUUUUUUUCCUUUGUGAAUGUAUUAUUUUGAUGUGAUGUGGUAUCUAAGUAAUUAUUGUGUGUCGAGCUGCACUGAGGGAAUACAAUCAUUAUUUAGCCAUACUUUGGUGGUUCCAUGGCCAGAUAAUGCUUCAAAACUUUAUUUUUUCUUUAUUGGUACUAAGCAUUGAAUGAUACAAAAGAUGAACGGUUGUGAAUAAGAAUUAGAAGAUCUAAAAUGUUGUGAAAACUAAAUAGAGAAAUGUUAAGGGGAUUAUCCUAAAGUGAGACUUUUCAUGUAUUCUCUACUAUAUCAUAGUUUAUCGUUAAUUUCAGUGUCAACAUUUAUUUUUUCUAACUAAUGAAUCAUUUAAUAAUAUUUUAUUAAAAUAUUAUGACAAAAACAUGAAAAAAAUCCAUAAAAAACCUUAUUUUGAGAGAAUUUUCUUAAUAUUUCCCAACCAAAGAAAACACCCGUAGCUUUGAAGUGACAUUCUCAAAAGUUCGGACCUAAUAUUAUAAUUUAUAGGGAACUUUAACGAAAAGCAUCUGAUAUUGUUCACUUUAAUGAAAAACCACAUUUUUACACUAAAAAGUUAAUUCUGGUACUAUUCACUUUACCUUUAUUUUGUCCUUAUCAUUAAAACUUAAAGUUUUCAAACCCUUUUAUUAGUUUUCCUUAAUUUAUAUCUUGCAUUCUGCACUUGCUUUGUGGUAAUUAUUUUCAUUCACAAGUUGGUUGUUCAGUGUUCACAUCUUUCAGCAAUUUGGCCCAUUUGGUGGGUUGGCCAUUUUUUCUCGUCUCAACGUGGGAAAUAUCAAAAGGUUUUGUUGGUAUUGAAGGCUUGAAGCAUUCCCAUUGGCUGGCUAUUUUGGUGCCUUGUGUUCGUUGACGAUGGUACAGAAAAAGAACAAUAGCCAUCAUGAAUGAAGGCAAUAAGGUUUGUGGACCAGGAAAGCUUUGAAUAUAAACCUACACCUCAGAUUUUUAGAUAUUUUUACAAAAUCAUUGUAUAUGUGACAAGAAAAACUUUCAUACACCUAUUGCAUAAAACACGUUUCUCACAUCUAUAGUCUUGCAUUACUCAUAUCUAGUAGCAAAUGUGAGUCAGUUGUAGUUUAUGAUAAGCCCAACAACAACAACAAAGUCUUUUCCCACUAAGUUGGGUCGGCUAUAAUUUAUAAUAAGCCCAAGAUAGAAAAAUCUUAAACAUUAUCAAUAGUCCUACAAAGAAAAAAAAAAUUGGAUGCCACCGACUAUACUGGAAUAUAUGCUUGAUGUCUAGUGUUGAGAAUAAAUCAUAUAUUGAUGCGAAAAAGACCUUACACGUCCUUAUAAGUGGGAUUACUUCUUAUGAGUUUAUGGUGGAACCUCAACUUUCUUCGUCUGGUGAUAGGACAGAGUCUCUCGUCCAUCAUAAACAAGGACAUGUAGCAUGUAGUUUAUCUAAUAUGGAAUAGUUUCAAACUUUCAAACCACUAUGGCGGUAUGCAUUAUGUUAUGAGACCUAAUAAGCAAAAAAUCAUUACAAAAGUAUUGUUUAGAAAAUCAUACAGUAAGAUUCAUUGGUUGGCCAUGUUCAAGUGUUCAGAUUCUGGUGCUAGAUUCACCUCUUACGUUAUAUGAAAUCUUCUAGCUGGGCGGACUUGAGACUAAUGCUGCAAUUUUAGACUGCUAAUUAGUUAGGCAAACUUUAUAGGACUGCCUAAAUUUUCCUGCAGAACAAGUCAUUGAUCUGGCAUGGGGAAGAAAAUGGUGAUGGCUCGGUUUCUCUCGAGGCUGCAGACGAAGAUUGAUCCGCAGAUGUUAGCCAAAACAAAUGUAUACUUCUGCAGAUUGGUUGGUCUCUCUUCUUUCCAAUAAGCCUCAGCUCUCAUUAGCGGCAUGGAUUGCAGGGUUUCGGAAAAAGGCUGCUUUCGAUUGCUUUCACACAGCUUAAAGGGUUUAGUGUUUAGGGUUUAGGGUGUAUAAAACGAUACGGGAACAUACACUGGCUUCAGAAUUUUAACUGACCAUACAAAGGUUGAUACACGAUACUUUUUAUCCUUGAAACUAAACCACCACACGUACAUCACAAUUUAUAUAGCUUGCUUCCAUCAUCUUGGCCCCGAAAGUUGAAUGUCCGACAGGAGUCUAUCACUGUUGUAAUUAGUGAGUCCUGACGACGAACUAGCUUCCUUGCCGCUCCAUUGUAAGAAACUCACACGACGAUCUGACAGAGAGGAGGAGGAAAUCCGUGGUGGUGGUAAAGCAGAAAGAUCUUCAAGCAUUUGGACUACUUUCGUCAUCGGAGGCCUCAUAUGCAUCUCAUCUUGAAUGCACCACAAUGCAACAUUGAUUGCAGUCACAACCCUUUCAUCAUUUUCAUCAACAUCUAGCUUCGGAUCGAGGAAUUGUUUCAGAUUUCCCUCUUCCAACAGCUUAAAUGCAUAAGAAGGAAAGUGGCCUCUCUCAGAACUGUUCACUGGAUCAAAAUUCCUCUUACCACCAAUGAUCUCAAGCAACACCAUGCCGUAACUGUACACAUCACUCUUCUCUGAUAUGGCAUGAUUGGUAACCCAUUCCGGAGCAAGGUACCCUCUUGUACCCCUCACCGUUGUAUGUACAAGGUUUUCCUCCCGGUUCAUCAUCUUUGCCAAACCAAAAUCUGAAACUUUGGCAACAAAAUUGUCAUCAAGAAGAACAUUUUCAGGUUUUAUAUCGCAGUGGACAAUCUUCUCUUCACAUUCUUCAUGUAGAUACGCCAACCCCUUUGCAGUGCCCAGUGCAAUAUUGAAUCUUGUGUUCCAAUCCAAGACGGCCUCCUUUUUGUUGCUAUUGAAUAUCCACUUAUCUAAAGACCCUUUUCCCAUGUACUCGUAAACAAGAAGCCGGUGAGGCCCUUCUGCACAGAAACCUCUGAGCUUGACCAGAUGGACGUGACGAAUUUUCCCAAUAAUAGUGACCUCAGCUCUAAACUCUUUCUUCCCCUGGCCAAGGCCCUCCAGUUUUUUCACAGCCAGUUGGAUGCCGUCUGGGAGCUCGCCUACGUAGACUGAACCAAACCCUCCUUGGCCAAUUUUGUUGGAGAAAUUUUUAGUUGCUCUGCUAAGAUCACCGUACAUGAAGCGAAUAGGCAUCCCAGAAAGACUGUCCAAGAACUUAUCCUCUUCCAAGAUUUCUUGAGAAUAAUCAAGUAGUCUCUUCCUGCGGUAGUACAAGAAUCCCAUAUAAACUAGACCAGCAAUAACAACAAUUGUUGCAAUCAAAAUGACCAUGAUUAACAAGAUGUGUUUGCUUCUGUUUCCCUUUCCUUGUCCGGCAUUGAUUCCUUCAUCACUUAAAAUCUUCAUAUAAGAGAUGUACCCGGUAGAAUUUGCACCGGAGCGUUCAAAACUCCCUACCCGGUCAAACAUAUAACAAUGUCCAGAGCUGCUUUCAAAGAAGAGCACAAGGCAAGAACAAUUGCUAAUGCAAGCUUCUUUGCAGGAACUCAGAUUGGAUUUCAGCAGGGAGGGUUUGGUAAACUGAAGGGCAAAGUAAUCGAGCUUCUCACCAACGUAUAAAAGCUCCGUUGAGCUUCUGGAGCUAUUACAAGUUGGGAGUGCUUGAGGUCUGCAAUUAAAGCGGGAAGUGAGAAGCGAAGGACAUUGGCACCAAUUGUCAAAGUAGCACACAAAAUAAGGGGCACAAGGCUCAGGAGUGCUGCAUGAAUUUUGCGGGAUCUUAGUUGCUUCAGAAGUAACAGACUUUCCCUUCUGAAGAUCGUAAAAGGAGAUCACUGCAUCAGCUCCUAAAGCCGCAGACCAGAAUGCAUUCGGGUCCUUGUUAUCAGAGAAGACAAAUUGCCAAAGCAAGGAUUUAUUUGCAUCAUAGAAAUUCAAAGCAUUGGACGCCAGAGACAGAGAGUGAAUAUUGCCAAUGACGUUGUUGUUGCUCAUCCUGCUGUCAACCGCCAAGGACCAAUAGAUUUGAGGAGGUUCGUAUCCUGUAUACAAGACCAGAUCCCCUGACUGAAUUUCAAGAUAGUGAAACACGUUAUUGGAGUUGCGAAAACUUUUGAGCUGCAUUCCUUGCAAGAACUCCUGGCCAGGUAAGAGAGUGUCCGUGGGAUGGCUAAAACUCUGCCAAAGAAUGCUUCCUUUGUCUCCAAGCAACACCAAGUUUCCUGAAUCCUGCAAUUCCAUGGCUGAAGCUACCUGUCCUGUUGUGUUUGUAGACCAGGCCACACUAUCACUGCCUCUCAAGUAGGCACUCCCAUUUUUAUCAAAAACGAACUUAGCGGACUUGGAAAUCAGUUUGCCUCUGUUAGCAGUCCAGACCACUUUAUCAGUACCCAAGUGAAUAAUCACAAGUAAAUACAACUUGACAUCCAGCGCUUGGUAGAACCCUAAGGCGAACGCCGAGUUGUUCGAUAGCAGGAACAGCCCCACAUGAUCACUCCAGUCCACCUGAGAUGCCUGGAACCCGGGAUAGAUUCGAUCUUUGUGUUGUUCGUCGGCUAUGCAGGUUUUGAACACAAGUAGGAGGACACAGAAACACAAGGCUCUAAUCUGAAACCGACCCAUAAUCGACUUCACCAAGUGACCCAAAAUUGCUUCCCAAAAAUUGAUUCUUCAGAAGAAUUUCCGGGUCUUCGAGUGAGCUGUUUCUUUGUAUUUAGCUUUAUGGCCCCUAAGAUAGAAUAAAAGGGCAAAUGAUCGAUCGAUCUGAAGUUAAAACUGAUUCAAUGUUUAAAAAGGUAUGAACACAAAGUAGUAAAAUUUCUUCAAGUCCAUCAAGCAAACUAGACAAGUAGGAGAAAAUCAGUGGUGAAAUAUAGUUGGUGGGGUUGUUUUUGGCCUGCCGACAGAUUGAAAAUCUACAGGCAGGUUAAACAAAUAGUGUUUCACAAAGCAAAACAAAGCAGGAAAUAAAUGGAAAAGAAGUGAGAGCAGAGAUUACAAAUUUAAAAAUAAAAUGACUGACCACAUUUCGUUGCUAAUGGAUUCGCAGAUUCUUGGAAGGAACAAGAUUGCUUGAAUCUAUGUGCUUCUACUGAUCUGCAACAGAAUGGAGGAAGCAGGAAACGACAGGCCAGAUUGUAAUAUAAAUUUGUCCAAAAGCUGUAAAGGAGGGCCGCGUAUUGACGAUAGAGUUUCAUGUGUUCAACGCCUUUAUGCGUGUGAACAUUUAUGUAAAAUGGUCUCCACUCUCGUGGGGGAAGAGAUCAAAGGUUCAUGAUCAAAUGAUGUGGACCGUUAAAAUUUGAGUUAAUAAUUAUAAUUAUUAUAAUUUUAAAAGAACUAUCUGUUUGUAACCGUUGGAUCAAAUUUCAACAUUCCAAAUCACUUAAUUCUGAACCUUUGAUGGGAGAGAUCUGGAUCGGAUCUCUUCCCCUCUCGUGGAAAUAUGAACAAAAAUUGUCUUUGCAUUGGUGUCCUCACGUGUUGUGUGUUUUUGUCUAAAGUUGUGAUCAAGUGUUCACCGAAAAAAAGUUGUGAUUAGGUUAUGUAGGUAUACUCUUUUUGUUUUAUUUUAUUUGUUUUUGUUUUAUUGGAUGAAGCAAUAUUUUUAUUUUAGAAAGAAGGAGAUUGGGUUAAACCACACAAUCGGCCAACCAUAACUAAGUGUUGAGCUACACAAAUAUUAUAUAUCUCAAUUCAUGAGAAUCGAACUUGAGGACUCUUACUUACAAGUGAAGAUGUGUAAGAUCCCACAUUGCCCAGAGAAGUGGAUCCUGUAAGCCUUAUAUGUAUAUUCACAUCUCUACCUAACACGAGGUCUUUGGGAGCUCACUGUCUUCGGGUUCCAUCGGAACUCUGAAGUUAAGCGCUUUUGCGCGAAAACAUUUCCAGGAUGGGUGACCCAUUGGGAAGUUCUCGUGUGAGUUCCCAGAAAUAAAACUGUGAGGGCGUGGUUGGGGCCCAAAGUGGACAAUAUCAUGCUACAGUGGAGUUGAGCUCGGGAUGUGGUGGGGGCCCGGACCGGAAUGUGACAAGAUGAAUAUAUCACUAAAUUAUAGUAAUAGUUGGUUAUGUGGUUUUAUCUUUAAAAUGUUAAGUGUUAUUGUUUACGGAAAUGAUUUGAAAUAGCGUUACUAUGGUAGUAGCAAUGUCCUCACUUAUCACUAUUAUUUAACAAAUCCACAAUAUCAACAUUAUCAAACCUUUGAGGAAACUUAAAAAAUUCAAGGGGUCAAUCCCAAAACCUUCCAUGGAGGACUUUACAAAUCCUUUUACCCCCUAAUGGAUCCGCCCCUGAAAAUCGAUAAAAAAUAGUGUUAUUCAAGAAUGCUACAAUAAUGCAAUUGUUCGAACACAUUUCCCUAUUUUUGUAUUUAGAAGAGGGAAAAUGAGAAAAUAUAGUAAUAUUCUUCUUCACUUAAAAGUGAGAGGUCUUAGAUUCAAAUUUUGUGGAUGGCAAGUUGAAAAGCAAUUUAUUCUCCCACUCCUUUAAUGUAAAUAUAUUGUUGUAUUAAAAAAAAAAACUAGAUACCCUUUUAUACAAGUUUUAACUUUUAUUUUAAACCAUUUCAACUUAUGUCACCUCUCAUCUAGCUUAAGUCAUUUUUUUAUGAGAAAUUGGAGCAUUAAUCUCUAGACUUUUGCAUAAUUGGAGAUUUGGUCACUAAACUAAAAAUCCAUAAUUGGUGUAUGAACUUGUCACAAUCUUGGAUUAAUCGUUCUUUUGGGAAUCUCAAUUUCUCAAAAAGGACAAAUAAAUGAUGAAAGUUUUAAUUGAAUUAUACAAAAAUGACCAUUUCUCUGUAUUAUAAUAAAUCUAAAGACCAACACUCGUAGAAUUUUUAAUUCUAGUACUAAAGCUCCAAUUGUCUCUUACCUUCUUACCCUCACCUUCUCUCUUUCUUUAAUUUUUUUCAAAAGAAAAAGAACAGAUGAUAAAAAUUAGGGAGUUUUAACGAAAAACCUGCGAUACUGUUCACUUUAACGAAAAACCAUAUUUUACACUAAAAAGUCAAACAUUGUACUAUUCAUUUUACAUUUUAUUUUGUCCUUAUCAUUAAAACUCAAAGUUUUCAAACCCUUUUCAUUAGUUUUCCUUAAAAAUUACCCUUCCCUCUCUUUCUCUCUGUUUUACAUUUUCAACAGAACAAGAUAAAAAAAUUAGGGGUGUGAUAUCUACACACCCCAUUUUAUUUCUCACACACCUUUUUAAUUUUCGGCCGUCGGAUCGGAUGAAUUGAAGAAGAUCAACGGACAUAAAUUAUCAAGGGUGUGUGAGAAGUAAAAUAAGGUGUGUGGAUAGCACACCCCAAAAAUUAAAACCAGGACCUACAUUCAUUCAUUGUCCCUUUUCUUUUCCUUUUCCUUCUCCUUUUCUUUUCUUUUCCAUGGCGGCUGCGGCUAUUAAUUAUUUGGAUUAUUACCGUAGCAGUUUUGGUGUUUUGUUAGAUAAGAGCAAGGUAUUAAAUAUCGAUGAUAUCGGAAAUAUCGGUAGUCAAAAAAUACGGAAAUAUUGAUGGAAAUAUCAGGAUAAUAUCGAUAUUGAUAAAAAUAAUAUGGAAACCACGAAAAUUGUAAGAAAAACUUGAAAAUUUUUAUUGAAACUUUGCAGGAUGUUUAUUUAGUCAAUUAUCUAUUAGUUUAUCAUAAAAAAAUUGGAAGGAAAUGCAUUGCAUGAUGGAUUUAACAUUAUCAAGUUGAUUAUAUAGCAAGCUGGUAAACAUUGUGAGUGUAGAAAAUAUGUAGUAAUUAAUGAAAGAAGUUUAAACACACCAUAAUCAUUUAUAUAUAAUGAAUUAGUACAAUAUUUUACACUUUAUACAUUGCAUGGUAAGAUACAUGAGUGACUUAGUACCACAUAGAGUUUCUAUGAGGUUCAAAUUUUUCACUAUCUUCAUCAUCUCUAUGUGUAGAGUGAGUGUAUUGUGAAGAGUAGUUAUCAAAUGAUAAAUCCCCAAAAUAGUUUUGCAUGUAAUUGUUAACAUGCCACCCAUAUGGAUCCGAGAUUGGUUGACCUUGUUCAUAAGCAAAAUCAUUUGAAGAUUGAGUCUCGGAUUGUUUCCAUGAGUCACUCGAUUCCAUCCCAACAGGAAUGGGAUAUGAAGGGUAGGGAAAUGGUUGGUUAUGAGUAUAACCAUAGUUACUACUUCCCACUCCAACAGAGUCCGAAGUUAUAGAUAACGAGUCAUCUUCUUGACUUGACAAAAUCCCCUUGCCUCUUUCUCUACUAGUAUAGUCCUUCCCUAUGGCACCAAUUCUUGGUCCUGCCCGCCUACUGCCAUGGUCCUCAUCCUGUGUUACAUGCGUGAAGUUUGCCUCACCAGUGAAGGGGCUCAUAAAUCCGGGAGAUGGUCCAACAUAGUUUCCAUAUCCACCACCACUACCUCCAGCUCCACUAUAUCCUUCAUCAUUCCCACCUCCGGUGGUAGGUGAGUCUCCUCCUGAUCUUGUACUAGAGUUAUCAUUAGUAUCAGCACGAUGUUGUGGUUGUGUAGGAUUGGAAGAAGGUAGAAUUCCAGUGUUUCUUGGUCUUGGGUGCAAAAGUUCUUCCAAAGAGUCAGCGCUGCUAGAUCCCACCUCCUCUGCUAAUACUCUUUCUACAUUUAUCCCUUUAUUACGUGCUUCUUCAGCAACUCUGGGAGUUGGGUUGCCUUCAUCAUUAUCUAAAUGAAGAGGUCUAAUCCAUUGAUAAAGUUGGUUACCCUCUGUAUCAUCAUCUUCAGCAACAAUAUCAAACACAUCUAGUGGGUCACCACAGUCGACAUGAUCUAUUUCUGCUUCCUUAUCUCGAAUUUGAAGCUUCAUGUUGUAGUAGCAAUAAACUAAUUUUUCCAACCGACUAUGAGCCAACCUAUUUCUUUGCUUUGUGUGUAUGAGUGCAAAUGUGCUCCAAUUUCUUUCACAAGUAGAUGAGGAAACUGUUUAUGAUAAUACUUUGAUUGCUAACUUUCUCACAGUUGGUGCAUCGGUCCCAUACAUGAUCCACCAUUCAGCUACAAUGAAAAACAAUGUUGAUAAGCCUAAUAACUCCAACAAAUUCUAUUAUAAACUUAUCGUGAAAUAUGUUUACACUCACUAGGAGACAUUUUUGUUCGAGCAGCAACUGAUGUUGGUUCUCCAAAAGUUCUUCUUGCAUCUUUAAACCAUGUUAGCUAAAUUCAAUAAAUCGUGUUAGUUUAAUCCAACAAAGUAAUUAUUAUAAUUUAAGUAAUUGUGUACCUCAUUUCCAAAUUGGCCAACUGCUGGUGAUGCAGGGUCUAAUUUAGAGUAUACAUUAUGUCAACACGUAUAAGGGUACCAUCAUCUCCAACACCGGGUCUGUAUUGGUAUCGAGGAUUUAAAUAAUAUGCUGUUCAAAGAAACACAUACUCUAAUAAGAGAAAUAAUACUUAUGCAACUAAAGAAAUGAAUUGCAAAUUAUGACAUAAUUUAUACCUGCUGUAUGUAAAUCGUGGUAUAAUGUUUUAUACCAUCGGUCUUCAAUUAUCUUUAUGACCCACAUUGCAUCAUGUUUUCUUUCCAAUUCAUCAUUCACUACACGCAUCAACUCAUAUAUUGCCCCCAUAGUAGGAUACACUUUUGUGUCAACGAUCCGUAAAACUUUGUAAAGAGGUUCAAACAUUUGGCACACAUGUUCUGAUUGUGUCCAAAAAGCAUGAUUAAGCACUAUACUUUCCACCAUACGACCUGCAUUUAAGCGGCUCAAAUUAUGGUUGGCCCAAUCGUCACUAGUGAAUAGUUGCUUCAACCCUGCUUUCUUCUUAAAUAGGCUAUCUAAUGCAAUAUAGUUGGUGGCGAAUCGAGUGGUAGCUGGACAAAUAAUAUCUCCUUUGCAAAAUUCAUGCAUCUUUACCAACAACCAACCGUGAUUGUAAAUAUAAUUUAUGAUCGUUCUAGCUCUUUUUACCACAGUAGCAAUUCUCUCUCUUCCUCAUUGCCUCAAACAUGAGAUCAAUACAAUGUGCUGCACAUGAUGUCCAAAACACAUUAUGAUGCUUCAUUAACUUUUUUUCCAGCUUUGACAAAUGCAGAACGGUUGUCGGUCAUGACUUGGACAAUAUUAUGCUCUCCCACCUCCAUGAUUGCAUCCCUCAAUAAUUUGUAAAUAUACUUGUAGUUCUUUAUAUGGUCUGAAUCAUCAUAUGGUCUGAAUCAUCAACAGACUUAAAAAAAAUUGUCUUUCCCAUGAAGUUUAUGAUAAACAAUCUGGUCGGGCCAGUCCAUCUGUCAUACAUGAUUGUGCAACCAUUAGUUUCCCACUUUGACCUCAACUUGUUAACAUACUCACCAAUGUCUUUAUACUCCAUAUCUAAAUAUUUGUUUCUUAUCUCAUAGGGAGUGGGAGGUCGUACUCCAACACCGGCCUGUUGACAUCCCACAACCAUAUUUUUGAAAUGAUGUGAUGAUGCUUUCUCAGCAGGGACAUUUUCAUAGAUAAAGAACUUGCUAAUUAGACGCCCCAUUCCCUCCUUCACAUUACCUCCAGUGAAAUAACUCCAAACACUCUUUUGACGUGCUUUGGAUGACUUAUAUAAACUUGGGGCUAUUGGUGGUGUUGGUUGUGAUUCUCUAAGACUGCCUCCCCGUCUCAUUUGUGCACCACCACUUGUCCUGGAACCUUGUGCUCUAUUAGGAAUUUUAUGAAGGUGUUCUCUUUCCUAUGCUGACUGUUUGGAGGCACGUAAUGCUUGUUUCAAACUGCGUCGUUCUUCAGGUCCCAUGUCAUCAUCACAUUCGUCCUCAUCAUCAUCAUCAUCACUGUCAACUGCUUGGCCAUAGACUUCUCCUCGUAGCCCAGCUCGAAUAUUUUCCAUUCCAUGUGUUAUCUUUUCCUUAUGUUGUUUUUUAUUUUUAAAUAAUGUGCUGAUGAAUGCCUUCACUUCUGGGGGGCCGUUAUUGCAUCGUUGGACAUUUUUUGCUGGAUCUAAUCCACUAAGAUGGUACUUAAGUCGUAUCACUUCGCCACUCUUCAUUACCCGACCACAAUAUUUGCAAAUUGUGCCAUGUUUGUUUCCGUCUAUUGGGUCUCCAUGUUCCCAAGCUAGAUCACGUUUAGUAACUCCACUGGACAUCUUAAACGUACCUAUAUUUAUUUUUCAUGAAAAUUAGACAAUUAUUUUUUGGCCAAAAAAUAUAGUAGUGAUGACGGUUAAAUAAGAGAACCUAAAUAAUAAAGGUAUUCUACAGAAGAAUUAAAUACGAAGUAAAGAAAAUGAUUGUAAAAAUUUAAGUAAUUAUAAAAAUAAUAUGGAAUAAUAAAACCUAAUAUUAAUGAAUAAUAAUCCAAUUUGAUAAAAAAAAAUAAUCCUAAUAUAAAACAUAGUGAUGAAUAAUAAUCCAAUUUAAUGAAUAAUAAUCCAAUUUGAUAAUAAAAAAAACCUAAUAUUAAUGAAUAAUAAUCCAAUUUGAUAAUCAAACCUAAUAUUAAUAAAAUAAUAAAUAACAUUAAACAUAUUAAAAUUAUCCUAGGGAAUAAUUAUACAACAUUACUUAAUUACUUAAAAAAAUUAACAUGUAAUUGUUAACAUUACUUAAUUACUUACAAAAAUUAACAUGCAAGUAUUAAUUACUUUAAAAAAUUAACAUACGAGUCCACACAAAUUUUUUGUUGUUGUAUAAAUUACAAUAAUAUAAAUAUAAGUUUGUAAACUUACUUUAAAUAUGGAACCUUUGUGUUCAAGCUCUGGAAUGGAUCUGGAAUGGCUUUGAAAGGGGUAAGGGAAGAAGAAGAAACGAAAAUGCUCUGAAUGACUCUGAUACUCCACCUCUGAGAAUGUGAAAGAAUAUCACAAACUCACAGUGGCACACGGUUUUGAAUGUGAAAGAAUAUCACAGACUCACAGUGGCACACAGUUUCAUUAUGAAAGUACUAUUAUUUUUGUCUAUGGUCUGUGAUUGUAAAAGUUGUCAGGUGAGUGUGAGUCAGAUGACCCAACCACACACACACACCGACACACACACACACACACUGACACGCCACCACACACGCACACAACAUAACACACGCACACAGUCUAUUUUUCUCGAUCCUUCUCUCUUCUUCUCUGAUCUCCCUUCUCCCCCUUCUCCAUUCUCCCACACACAUGCACAGAGACCCAAGGUCUCUUGAUCCUUCUCCUACAUCACCUUCUGCUCCUCCCUCGUCGGCGCCGUCUCUCUCAUUUCUCUCUGCACCGAGGGUCCGAGACCCACAUACACACACGCACACCAUCGCACCUACUUCAGGAAGACACCCAUCAUCAUCAGCAACCUCGUAUUUCUCCCUCUCAUUCUCGUCUCUGCAACUCGGCGAACGCAAGAACUCCUGCGAGGUUCUUGAAUUUCUCCGGUUAGGUAAGCUUCGGGUUUGCCUCUUUCUGUUCUAGAUUGAAGCUUAUAUGUGAAAUUUAAGUUCAAAAUCGUGUUUUUGCAAGGUUUUUGGGAUGAAAUUGGCUCGGGAAUAGGCACACCCAUCUUCGGCGAGGCCGUGGGUGUUGACGAACUUUCCGAACACCUCUGACCGUUUCACGGAAAACGGAUUUUAUAAAAACAUUCAUCUCGUCUUCUAUUUCAUUUUGAUACCUAGAUCGGAGUCUAGGGUGCUCUUUUACAGUCGGCCGGAGCUGUAGAAGCUCUGGCGUUCUUAUCCGGUUAGCACAGUUCCAACAUAUUGCGAUAGUUUCGAAAAAAUCGCGAUAUUUUGACGAAAACCCGUUGGAUACCUAUUAAAAUAUCGUUACCGUGAAAAAUCAAUAAUAUCGGCGAAAUAUCGCCGAUAUUAUCGGCAUUUAAGACCUUGGAUAAGAGUAAUUAGCAUGUUGAUAGAGUUGUUUAGUGUAAGUUAUAACUUAAUAAAACAAAUGUCCAAUGUGUUACAAGAGAAAGAGAUGGUAACAAUUAAAGUAAAAAAACAAUGAAGUACAACUGUCACUGAUUUUUAGACAGGAGUAUGAUUCUCUUUCCUCUUAUUCUUAUCAUUUUCCCUCUCCUCCUGUCACAUUUUAUUUUCUAUCUUUUUGUCCUUAUAAAAAUAAUUAAUUUAAAAUGUUAACGUGAUUUAAUCGUAAAUGUUCAAAUAUGAUGAGAGUAAAGAGGAAAGAAAGUCCUCCUCCUUUUAGAGGACUAUCCUCUUUUCUCUCUCUCUUCUUUUUGGCCAUGAGAUUAUCAUCUUCCAUUAAUUUGCUACAAGCUUUAACAAUACUAUUAAGACAAUUUUAUACUAUAAUAUUUUUAUAUUAAGAAGUGGAAGAGUAAAUUAGUAUUGUUGCUUCCUGCAUUUCCAUCCAUAGAGUACUUUUGAAAGAUGUGCUCAUUACAUGAGUUAUAUAAAGAAGGGAAACAUAAUGUAUAAUCUUAAUAAGUUGAAACCUUUUGGCAAAAGUGUAAUACUCAAUUGGUGGAGCAGGUAGUAAUUAAAGUUGAAGAAAUCAAUUAUUGGCAGUGUGUAGAGUGUGUGGAUUAAUCGACCUCCAAAAAUAUCUUAUGAGAAUUGAAUUUACAAGUGAAAAAGAAUACCAUUAAAUCGUAAAAAUAAAUGGUGAAAUUCCUUCCUUUAAACAAUCUAUACAUGGACUUUAAAGAGUGAUGUUAGUUGAAAAUGACAAAGAAGUCAAUCCAGCAUCGCCGACUAUUGACAGAAUUCGUAUUGGAGUUGUAUUAGGUAACAGUCUUUGAAAUUUGGCUGAAGUGUUUCCCACGUCAAUGCCGCCUUAUUCUUUUUAGGCUUCUGCUGUUCUAUUUUAUUCCCACAUUGGAAUAUUACACUUACGACACUUGAGUUAGGUAGGUCGCCAUUACCAGUACGUAAGUGGUGCCUAAAUCAGCUCCACAUUAGUCGAAGUGAAUGAUUCGUAGCCUUCCAUGUGAGACCAUGCAGUUUUAAUUUUGUUUCUAGUUAGUGUUUGGUUUAGUAAAGUUUAAAGUCGCAAACUUUGAAUUCAAAACGUUUACUAGGUGUCACUUAGUACUACGGUUUAGUGAUAUUUCUCUUUGUAAGUGAGAGGUCUUAGGUUCGAUUCUCGUCAAAGACGAAUUCGAACCACAUUAUUGCUAACCUAUUGUGAGACUAACUCACUUCCCCACCUCCUUAGUGUAGAUCGUUUGUUAAAAAAAAACGUUAAACAGGUAUUUUGAGUACCAGACUUAGAUCUUUACCUUCACCAUUUGUUUCCACUCGCAUCACUUUUUCGUCUCGUAAGUUUUCUUUGUUCUGUGUCCAUUAGUUGGCAAGAGAAAAUUGACUAUAGGGAUGCACCCACAAGCCAGCUGCUAAUCAAGUUUAUCAUUUAUUUACGUAAUGUGGUGUUAGUUUAAAAGUUUCAAUGACUUGCAUCCCAUACCCUUUUUGGUAGUUGGUAAACAAUAAUAUUAGAGGCACUCCACCACCAACUCUAUUUAACAAGGGUUUUUUUUUUUUUUUUUUUUUUUUUUUUUUAAUCACAAAUGGUCCUUAAAAUUGACUCCAUCAAUCAUGAUGGUCCAUGAAAUUGAAAAUUGAUCAAUGUAGUUCUUGAAUUUUAACCUCGCGAAUCAAUGUCCUUCCGUUAGUGUUCUGUCCAAAUUAACUUUAAAAAAAGUCAGACAACCAAUUUUUGAUGGUAAAAUGACCAAAAUAACCCUAUUACUUAUAAUUUGACUUACUACCUCUCUUUUCCUUUCUCCAUCUUCACUUUUCCCUCCAUGUUUUCAUGGAUUUGGCGAUAAACCUAAAAUAAAAAAAUAAAAUAAAAAGCGGGAAUUUUUUAUUAUUUUUAAUAUCAAGUAAAAAGAAUUCUAACUAAAACUAAAAGAAUGAAAUAAUCAACAGAUGAACUCGUCAUUUCCAACAGAAAUUGAAGCUAGAGCUUUAAUGUCAUUAUACUGGAAGACUUUUCUCUUUAGGCCAUCUCCAACCGAAGGGUCCAGAGGGCCAGAGGGCCGAAAAUAGCCAUAAAACCGUUUCCAACCGAGGGUUAGGCUAGAGGACUCAGGAAUUUGGAAGGGUCCCACGAAAUUUCAAAGGGCCAAAGGGCCAAAGGGUUGGCCGGCCGUUUUUUUAUAGUUUUGUUAUUCCUGUCGGUUAGAACCGACAGGAAUACAUACUAUUAUUUAAUAUACUAAAUAAUGGCAUGUAUUCCUAUCGAUUAUAACCGACAGGAUUUUUUUUAAAUUCAAAUGAAACGGCUACUAGCCGUUGCAUUUGAUUUGAUAUUUUUUUUUUACAUUAUUAUUAUUAUUUUUUAUUUACAAAAUUUUUCAUAUAACUUCUAUUUUUUCCUAUAACUUUUAUUUCACAAAAUUUGGUUCAUAUUUUUUUUUAAAUUCCAUUUUUUUCCUAUAACUUCUAUUUCACAAAAUUUGUUUCAUAUUUUUUUCCUAUAACUUCCUAAGCCAUUAUACAACAUUAAAUUAAAUUAAGUAACAUGAAACAACAUUAAACAAUAUGAAACAACAUUAAAUAACAUUAACCAACAUAAAAAUUAUACAACAUGAAACUUAAACAACAUUUUAGUUGUAGUUUUUAAAUAAUAAAUUAUGUUUGGCCCUAUGGCCCUUUGGCCCUUGGUUGGAGACGGUUUUUUGUGACAGGGCUAAAACGAGCCAUCUGGCCCUCUGGCUCUCGGUUGGAGACGGAGGCAAAUAUGGCCAUGUACUGUUCAUUAAAAUAUUAAUAUCUUGAGGAAUCUUGGAGGGCCAGAGGGCUAAAACGAGCCCUCUGGCCAGCCCUCGGUUAGAGAUGGCCUUAGAGAUCUUCACCAAUUCAUUUACAAUCUUAUCCAUCCCUUUUUUUUCUUCAAAGAAAUUGGGCUAGCUCCAAAAUCUAUUGCCAAAGUCCACCUUUGAUCAUUUCUCUUGUCAAAGAAAUUGGGUACCAUCACCUGCCAAAUUAUUCAUUUUCUUGUUUUUUUUUGUGUGUGAAAAAACUGAAAGUAAUAAAUGAUAGUGUAACAAUUGUUCUGUUCAUAGAGCUAUCAAAUACAAUUGAGAACGUGGGACCGAUGCUUUCGUUUUGAGCAAAGCUAUCAAAUACAAUGAACAUGUAACAAUGUAAAGUUGUCCAAUCCAAAAAUCCCCAAACUCAUCAUCCCAAUUCAAACUAUGUGUUAUCUGCAACUCUUCAUCUAAGUUCAUAACACAUCAAAUAAUUCAUUUCUUGCCAUUAUUUACUUGUCAACUUGAGUAGAAGAUUGAACCUCAUAUAUUUCCCACUUCCAAUUAUCACUUGAACGUCGGACCAUGUACAAAUCAACAAUUUUGUUCACAGGCAAGUCUUCAAUCAAAUUCAUCACAUUUGCAUCGCAUUUCAUCUCUUCAAAAGUCCCAUCAGGAAGCUUCUUAUACUGUGCUAACUCCUCAUCAUAUUUUAGGUCCUUUGCAAUAUUGUGACAUUCUACCAACGAUUGCAUGUCACAAUCAAUCCAAUCGAGAAAUAUAACCUCACCCCCUGUGUAUACUUCCUUGCGUCCUUUUUUAAUCAACUGACCUCCAUAGUGAAUUUUAUAAGUUAAAAAGCUGGGAUUAGCUACAAGACAUAUAAAUUCAAGUCAAUAUUAUGUUACACUUACAAUGAAUAGGUGUAGACUCGGCGUUUCUUACACAACACGAAAAUAACGGGUUUUGGGUCAACAUGAUAACUAAUCGGAUCAUUAUCGGGUGACCUGUUAAGAACCUGUUAAUAACAGGUUCUUAAUGGGUAUACAUGCGAGUAACACGUGGGUAAUCCAUUUCGACCUGUUAAGAAAAAAAUUAUUUUGAUAAUUUUAAAGUUUAAUUACUAAAAGAUUUAUUAUAAAAUACAAUAGCCAUAUUAAUAUAUACAAUAUAUUCUAUAUUAAAUAUAUAGUUUUGUAUUAUUAUUCCAUAUAAGUUACAAAAAAAAAUUGUAGUCAUUAUUUAUUUUUAUCAUGAGAGUUCCUUAUUAUCAUUACUAGGAUAAAUUUUACUUAACAUGUUGUCCAAAAUUAAAAUAAACUAGUAUAGUAUUUGUAUAGGGAGGAACUAAGAAGACAUACAUACAAGUAUGAAAAAUGUAAAAGAAUAUAUAAACACUCGUGAUUCAUCAUUAUUCGUCCACAAGUAGAUAAUGGUUAUGCUUACAUUAUCAUUUAUAUUUUUAAAAUCCUCCAAACCCUCAUGAAUAAUGUUUUUUAUUUGAGGGCAAAAUUAAUAAAAAUUAUUGUAGAAGUGUAAAAAAUGUAUAUAUAUAUAUAUAUAACAUUACAAUCACUCAUAGUGACAAGCUUUACAACUUUCAUAAAGGGGUCAGCUUCAAAAUCCAACACUAUAAUCCUUAAACUUUAAAUUUAUAUUUAACCGUCGAUUUUCAUUUACGAUUUAUUCUUCUUACUGAAUUUCAUUUUUCAAAUUUUCCUUUUUGAAAACAUGAUCAUCUGGUGGAUGUAAGAAGAUGAACGGUUUAGAUCUUAGAUAUCACGUUUCGAUGUUUACGGUUAACUGAAAUAUGAGUUGAUGUCAUAUAGUGUGUAGAAACUUCAUAAACAUCAAGCAAUAUUUUCACUAACCGUAAAACUCUAAAUAUAAUUUCAAUGAUCCAAACCGUUCAUCUUCCUACAUCCUCUAAUAGAUCAUGUUUUCAAAAAACAAAAUCUGAAAAAAACAAAAUUUGAUGAGAACAAUGAAGCGUAAAUGUAAACAACAAUCAACGGUUAAAUUUUAAUCUAUGAUUUAUAUGAUUAUAGAGGUGAAUUUCGAAGUUAAGCUCUUCAUGAAAGUUGUAAAGCUUGUCAUUACGAGCGUUUAUAUUUUUUUUCUAUAUUUUUUUACACUUCUACAUUAAUUAAAAAACUAUUAAAGACUUUACUUAAAUAACAAUCGUAAGAUAAAUGAGAGUAAAUAUGUACCGUUGGAUUCUAUUUCACUUAUAUUAUUAGAACUUUUUUGGACGAAAAAACCCCUUCUCUAUUCCAAUAUUUUCCAAUUUUACCAUUUGAUCAAUUUAGGUAAGCGAAAAUAUACUUAAAAGAAAAAUGUGUUUUUAUGUUUUGGAUGUGACAAUAUGGUAUGUAUAUACUUAUUUAGUAUUAUGUUUUUCAUUUGAUUAUUUAUUGGUUUAAAAUAUAUUUUCCUUAAUAGGUAACAGGUCGGGUCAUAUUACCUGUUAAUAUUGUCGGGUCCACUACAAGAAAACAUGGCUUUUGUGACUACCAACAUUAGUCACAUAAAUAUGAAAAAUCAUCACAUUUGACUAUAUGUGACGAAAUUUCAACGUCACAAUUAGCGUCACCGAUAGUUUAAGUGACGAAUAUUGGAGUCACCACAUAUUUUCCUUUUACGUGACGCUUCUUUCGUCACGUAUUAUUCUAAUAUGUGGCGAAACUAGUGUCACAAAAUACAAAAUUCAGUGACCUAUGUUUUUCGUCUCAUAUCAUACUUAUAAGUGAUGCUUUUUGGGUCACUCAAUAUGAUCCCAGAAUUAUAUAAUUACACUAAGUGACGCUGAAAUCGUCACAUAUUCUUUUGAUGAGUGAAGUGGCUUAUGUCACAUAUGUUAUAAUCAAAUAACUAUUUAGGAAUAAUAUUUGAGGAAUUCAUUACUUAUUCGUGUUUCGUAAUCUAGAAUAGCAACUCAUGACAAUUAUAAGGUAAUACUUCCCAUUUUCAUUAAUCAACAAUUAAACCACAUAAGUUCGAAUAUGUUCAAAAACUAUACAUUCAACAAAAUAACAUAAACAUCCCAAAAUCAAUCUAACCCAUGGUGACCUAUAUCCUAAUAAUGGCAAUUUGUGAAGAAGGGUACCAAGGCCUAUACAUGGACCGUUUAAGAUACUAAUUAACAAAAGAAAAGUCUAAGACACAUUGAGGUGCUAACAAAAAGCUCUACCAUGUGCAUACUUAACUAAUAACAAAAGACAUAAAUAUCGAAAUCAUUCUUUUUCCGAGUCAUGUUCUUCGAGUUCAGGAUAAACAUUUUCACUAGAUGAGUUAUUACUAUCAAAUUCCUUCGAGUUGUCGUUGGUUUGCCCCUAACUUGCAGCCAAAAAAGCCUUAAUUUUUUAUGCCAAGGUUUCAUUAUCCAACCGAGCUCUCAAUUGUUCAUUUUCUUGUUGCAAUUUGAGGAAACCAUUUGAUAGAAUCUUGAUCUGAUCUCUCAUAUCAGUUAACUCAGAACUUGAAGCCAUAGAAGAGACACAACUAAAGGUAUCCGUACGUAGGAAAAGACCUACACCGUUAACAGAUUUUCCCUUCCUUCCAAGGUUCUUAGCCAUGAUUCCAAAUUCAUCUUCCAAUGGUACUUGUAUGGAAUCGAAUAUAGUACCCUCAUGCGCUUCUUGGCUUAGCUUCUCCCUAACUUCAUCUUUCUUUUUCUUCAUGUUAUCAUUUCAUAUUAAAUUACAAACAAAUAAGUUUCUUUUGUUUGAAACAAAUCAGCCACAUAUAUGCUUAAGAAAACACCACGUAAAUACUUGGAUGUGAUCCUGAACUGAUGUAGAAUUAAACCAUUGGGUAUAAAUUGUCUUUACAUAUGAUUUUGUAGUUUAUGCUUCAAUGUGUUUUACAUAGGAUUAGGCAACAUACAACGUACAACCUUUAAAGUAGUUUAUGUUUGAAUGUAUAUUAGGUACAACCUUUCAGCUUCUAGCUAGUUAUAUUAAGUUUUUUUUUUUUAAUUCAAUCUUGCAUGUUCACUUUAUUUGUGUUUCCUAAGUUGUAUCAUGUCAAAUUUGAUUUUUUUAAUCUCCAUCUCCCUUAAAAUGACACAAACGAUAAGUUCGUGAAUGACUUACAUAUUUGUCCAGGGCAACAUCAUUUAUCCAUUAACCGUUCUUGUCUUUAUGGAGAGCCCCCCAAUUGUUAAUCACAGAUAAUGGAUUUCCUUUCUGCUCAAUGAUGCAGAAAUAUACAUUAGAAUAUGUAAAUUUCAUAAUGAGUAUAAUAAGUAAUUUAAUUUCAUUACCAUCUGGGCCUUCUUAGCAUGUUGGAUAAAUGGCCUAGCCCCUCCUUUGUGGUGAUACUUCUCUUCCUAUUAUUAGCAUUUUGCUUUGAAAGCUCCUACAUUACACAUUUGGUACAUGACAUACAAAAGAAGAUUUAGUUAGCUAUACAUGUGUACAAUUUGGAAAGUUCCAAGCUCUCAAACUUGUCAUAUAUAACGUCAUGUAUUUCAGUUGUACAUAUUCAUUCACCUUAGAGGGCUAUCUCACCUCACCUUCUAUAUUCUCUCGGUCAACAAUGUUAGAAACAUCACAAGCUAAUGAAAGAGAAACUUAUAAACACCAAGCUUAAGGAAAUUGAAUGGAAGAUACUAUUUCUUCUACCAAGGGCAUUAGGCUAACACAGUUAGUCAGAUGAGUAUAUGAUAACCAUUUUCAAACAUUAAAUUUUAACUCCAAAUUACCUAAGUGUCAAGAAUUAACAAUCAACAAACUUCAGAUUUUAACUCAAAAUUACCUAAGUGUAAAGAAGUAACAAUCAAUUUAACCACAAGGUGAAAUUCAUUAAUGCAUGUUAGGAUAUUUUUAUUUCAAACAUGGCUAUUGAAACUAUUAGACGAUAUAGGGUGACUGAUGCUGCAUAUAACUGAUGAUGCAUAACUAAUGCUGCAUACAUAUGGGGUGACUGAUUAUUAGAUGAUAUGGGAUGACUGAUGCUGCAUACAUAUGAGGUGACUGAUGAUGCAUACUGACUGAUUAUUAGACGAAAUGGGGUGACUGAUAUUGCAUAUAACUGAUGCUGCAUAUGACUGAUGUUGCAUACAUAUGGGGUGACUGAUGCUGCAUAUGACUGAUGCUGCAUAUGGAUAUUAGACGAUAUGGGAUGACUGAUGCCGCUAGAUUUUAUGUUUCCUCUUUCCAUGGGAUUCUCUAUUAAGUUUAAUCCUUUAAUUUGAGGAAGAUUGACAUCUAGAUGAUGUGUUGAUAGUUGUGUGCUAGCUAUUUGCUGCACUCCCUUAAUUUAAAGAGUGACAACUUUAGGGUUUAUCGGGUUAGUAGGAUUUGCCAAGGUAGGGUUGCUUGUAACCUUUUACCUCAUUAUAUAUCCCCCUUUGUACAUUCAAUCAAUCUAUGAAAAAUACAUUCAAACAAACUUAAAAUUUUCACAUAAACAGAGGUUAUAUUUACCUUUGCCAUAUUCCUAAUUCUAACCUAAUUAAAUAGGUGUUUAAGCAUAUUUGAAAAUUACAAGUAAAAAAGUGUGUGGCUGUAUAGCCAAGUAAGCUAAGAUACAUAAAUCCUAUCCUAACAAUAUAUAAAUGUUAUAGACAAACAACAUGAGAUCUUAAUCACACUCAAAGAAACAAAAUUCAUUUAAAACUAACAGUUGAAACACUAAUCGGUAGCCUGCAAAAUGACACUAAGCAAAUGAGUUCUAUAAGAACAAAUCAGAUGAAUAAAGCCACCAACUAUAAGACAGGGAAAAUCUCAAUAAAUAAAGGGAAAAUACAAAACAAAAGGUAACAAAGCCAAGAUGUAGAAAUUUUAGUCAUAAAUACUGAAGAUAAAUAAAGGCCCUCUAAACAUGCCAGUGCAAAAUAUAUCCAAAUCACCAAACUAAAUGUGUGCCAUUGCUAAACAUAUCUAUAAAGGCUGGGAUUAGAAUCUAACCAGUUAAUGAUGAAGGAACUUUCAAUAGUUGAUCACAGCUUUCCAUUGUUCUCAUGUGAAUAGGCAUGCCAUCACAGUGUAGUAGAAAAGGAAAGCUGCUCAAAUUGAUGAUCUCACUCAGGAAUUCAGAAACCAGAAAAUGAGCAUUCCUAACUUAGUCUAAAUGGCCUCCACUAAAGCCAACUCAAAAUUAAAAAUACCACAUAUGCAAACUCAAUUAUUUAAAAAGCUUAUAUUACAUUUAGCAUAAACAAGAACACGAACACAUACUAGAGGGAUAAUAUAUGACGUACUUUCAAAUAAAAAUUCGCCAUUACUAAGCACUUGAAAGUUAUAAGUUACUUGAAGUGAGUUGUCUUAUCAAGCUUGAAAUUAAAAAGAUUAUAUUCAUAUCCUUUGUCAAUAUUAGAGAUCUUUAAGUGUUCUUUUUUCCUUUUUCCCUAUUCAAGCUAGUUUAAACGUUUAUAAUUAUGAUGGGAUAGAAAUGAUGAGAGGCAAAUAUACUAGCUUGUCGAACAAAAUGUGUGAGGGGUUCAGUACAACAAAUUAAAGUUCGAAUGUGUCAUAUCCCGACCCGGGCCCCCACCGCAUCCCAGACUCGACUUCGUUGUAGCACGAUAUUGUCCGCUUUGGGCCCCGACUACGCCCUCAUGAUUUUGUUUCUGGGAACUCACACAAGAACUUCCCAGUGGGUCACCCAUCAUGGGAUUGCUCUCACGCGCUACUCGCUUAACUUCGGAGUUUCGAUGGAACUCGAAGCCAGUGAACUCCCAAAAGGCCUCGUGCUAGGUAGAGAUGGGAAUAUACAUAUAAGGAUCACUCUCCUGGGCGAUGUGGGAUCUUACAAUCCACCCCCCUUAGGGGCCCAACGUCCUCGUCGGCACACCACAACUAGGGUUAAGCUCUGAUACCAAAUUGUCAUAUCCUAGCCUGGAUCCCCACCACAUCCCAGGCUCGACUCCGCCAUAACACGAUAUUAUCCGCUUUGGGCCCCGAUUACGCCAUCACGAUUUUGUUUCUGGGAACUCACACAAGAACUUCCUAGUGGGUCACCCAUCAUGGGAUUGCUCUCGCGCGCUACUCGCUUAACUUCGGAGUUCUGAUGGAACCCGAAGCCAGUGAAUUCCCAAAAAGGCCUCGUGCUAGGUAGAGAUGGGAAUAUACAUAUAAGGAUCACUCUCCUGGGCGAUGUGGGAUCUUACAAUCCACCCCCCUUAGGGGCCCAACGUCCUCGUCGGCACACCACAGCUAGGGUUAGGCUCUGAUACCAAAUUGUCAUAUCCUGGCCUGGGCCCCCACCACAUCCCAAGCUCGACUCUGCCGUAACACGAUAUUAUCCGCUUUGGGCCCCGAUUAUGCCCUCACGGUUUUGUUUCUGAGAACUCACACGAGAACUUCCUAAUGGGUCACCCAUCAUGGGAUUGCUUUCGCGCCCUACUCGCUUAACUUCAGAGUUCCAAUGGAACCUGAAGCUAGUGAGCUCCCAAAAGGCCUCGUGCUAGGUAAAGAUGGGAAUAUACAUAUAAGGAUCACUCCCCUGGGUGAUUUGGGAUCUUACAUAAUGAAUAUUUGUAAAGUGGGAAAACAAGUUUGGAUGUGAAAAUGGCAGCUUGUUGGAAAUCAAUUGCUAUCUAUUUUCUUGGGGCUAUGUGGCUGUUUUAAAAUUGGUGGACGAAAAACUGACCAAAAUUCCUCUGGUCCUCAUCUCACCACCCAAGCUAAAUGACUGGGAUAGUUUAUUUUAGUUUAGUCAGCUUUCUUGGAUUUAAGGACACAAAACAUGAUUGAAGCAUUGAGGUGGAAGCUAUUCUGUCUAAGCAAAAUGUCACAUCUAUAGAUCUACUUUAGGAUUUAGGACAAAUAAUCUAAUAAUCUAAUCAGGCAGUACAUGUGAAUCUUUUUGAGAACAUUCUGUCAUCGAAAUUAUGGAGAUAUAAUCAUGUUUGGAUUUUUGAAAUAGCAGUUUCCUAAUAAUCAAAGUUCAAAGUAAUUAAAAUUCAGAAAGUGGAUUAAUCAUCCUUAAACCCAGGCAACCAAAAAAAAAUUACAAACCUAACUAAGAUUCUCAACCAAAUUCAUUACCUAAAAUAACUUAAAAUUACAGUGAUAGAACGAAUCUAAGAAAAGCACCAUAAGGUUAAGACUAAACAAAAAGCUAAAGGGAAAAGGAUAGAGUCUAGAGAUUGAGAACAUACCCAAAGUUUUGGAGAACGAAAUGCAGAAAAGUCCCCUGUAUUGGGGAUUCCAGAGCUUGAAUAUCCGAGCACUUCGAUGGUGACGGAAAACAGACGGGCGAUAUUGGGACUACUAAAAGUGCAAACAAACUAAAAAACUAAAGGAGAUUCGAUUUACUCAUACUUAUUGUGGAGGCUUUCUAUUUUUUUGAUAUAUUUAUGGCAUCACAAUCAACCUAAAUCAUCCUCGCAAACAACCAAACUCGAAUUAUUCCUGACAAUUCUCUAAUUUAGUCGAAUCUAACAAGUUUCAUUGAAUCUCAUGUAAAAAAUUCCCAAUAUUUUUUCAAACCCUAAGUCUUACAGUAAAAAAGAAUUCACAGAAGAAGGAGGAAUGGGGAAGAGUGAGGAAAAGUACGAGAUUUAGUGGGAGAAGUGAAAAAGUGGGAAGGGAGGAAUAUGAUUAGUAUGGUAUUAUUAUCAUUUACCAUGAAAAAGUUGUCAAGUUUCCUUUUUUAACGUUGAUUUGGACGGAACACUAAUGGAAGGACGACAUUGAUUUGCAGGGUUAAAAUUCAGGGAUUAUAUUAAUCGAUUUUCAAUUUCAAGGACCAUCAUGAUUGAUGGGGUCAAUUUCAAGGACCAUUUGUGAUAAAAAAAAACCCUUUAACAAAUGAUGUAUUUGUCAUUUUUCGUUUACUUUCCUUUUAUUUAUUAAUAAAAGUGGUGGAGAAGGAACGAGCGAGGGAUUUCUAGGUGUAGUGGUUCUCAUCCUUAUGGGGGAGGGUAUGUGCCUUGCAAGCAACUGUGAGACAAUGAUUUUUCAGGGUCAAAUUAAAGCUGAUCUAAAUAUAGUUACCUUAGAAGUCCGGUUAUGGACUCAUCAGCUCCAGGCGGAACUGUAUCAGACGGAGUAGCGGUGCUACCCUCACUCUACUCCGGGAUAAUAGGUGAAGUCCUAAGUGACUCCGCUUGAUGACAAUGUUUGUUUUGCAAGAAAUGUGAUUUGACACGGAUAUGGACACAAUCAUAUCCUAUAAGUCUUAGAGUUCCUACAAUCUAGGAAUUGGCGUGCUACUCAAAUAAUCAUAACUCCUAAGAGGAUACAAUCUCUACUUCUAAAUACCUAAUAGGAUUCUCCCAGCUUCGAAUGAGGAUUUUAUCUUAAAAAUGUUUCUCUCCCCACAGUUUAGAUAUACCCAUUUAGGGUUCAUCUGUGGUAACCCAAUCUAAACACUUCAAUUCUCUUGCUCACUGUUUGAGUCUAAAAUCAUUCACUAACUUGACCGUCCGGGAGUCUUUAGCCAACACAUUCCUGGUCUCAGGCUUGCUUAUGGUUGUUACUAUUUUGCAGGUUGCUCAAGUUUGUACUUAACCACCACUCAUGGCAAUGCGCGAAUUUGGCUUCAACAACUACUAUUGUUGGAAAACUUAUCUCACCUAAUCUUUCUUCAUCAAACUGAAAAAAAAAAGAAAAAAAAGAAAGAAAAAAACAAUGUCUCUGUAUAUAUGUAAGAGUCGUACUUGUUAAAAAUAAAUGAGAUUUAAAAGUCGGUCUUUGUUGUGAUGAAUAAUUAGUGUAGAAAUUUGGUACCUGUAAACAUUACUCGUUUGCAAAAGCAUUUAUAAUGUUGUGGUAGGUAAUAUUUGCAUCAACUAGUGUUGUGUGUUAUAAUGUAAAAGUUUAAAGGUCUGGCCAUAAAGUUGCAGUGUAGCAUCAACGAUUACAAGAACAGAAACAAGUUUAUCACAUAGAAUUUUUGGGUAUUUGCACUAACUAUGCAUAUUUUUUUUCUUUUCUAAAAUGAUAGUUUAUGGGAUCAUAACAACAGUGAUAUGUUCUAAUUGUCAACUAGUUGAGGACUGUUUUGGCUUUUACAUAACUGUACUUGAUUUGAGACAAUACUAACAUGUGAAAUUCUUAUUUGGUACUAUAAUAUUGUCUCAUGGUAUAAUGUUAUACACGUAUUUUAACAAGUGUUUUAUAUAUUGAUAUGUGAUAUAGCAGCGGUGGUUGGAAUUUGAUAGAGCAUAGUCUACAUAACAGCAACCACAUCAAACCACACAAAACAAGAAUAAUUUCAUGAAAAAUUAUUAACUAAGAUUAUGGAAAGUUUGGAGGCCUUGUGGAUUUGGUGUGAUAAUUUGAGAUUUUUUAUUCCAAGCGAUAUUACUAUUCUAAACUAUACUAAUCACAAAGUAUGAAACUAGUUUAAAUUCGAUACAGAAUAAGUUGAUCAUGAGGCUCUAUCUGCUGGACAAUCUAUCACUUGUGAGCGCGUUCAAUAGCGUGCCACCUUAUGGUUCGGUUCUUUUUGUAUAAAGAAACUCCUCUUUCUGAGGCUUCUUCCACUCUUGACCUGGCCAGGUUCCUCCUAGCUCAUGUCUUCUUACCGGGUUCUUCCUAGCUCUUAGUUCAGGCCGUAAUUGUAAAUAUAGAACUAAACCCGUAUUUGGAGUUGCUCGAGCUGAGUCUUCUGUUCUUUCUUGUUCUUUCUAUUUCGUUUCAGCUAGUAUGAUCCUCUUCUGCUAGUGUCAUUUGAGUAGCAACUAGGCGUCGCCUAUAUAUACAGCAAGGCUCAGUGUAGCUAGAGUUGACCGAAUCGUGGGGUCUGCGCCAAGUAAGAAAGAUCUUCUCCCUCCCUUCUUUCCUAUUCUAAUCUCUGGUUUUCUGGAAAGCCCCUCUUAUCAUUCUUUUUCCAGCAGUGGUAGCUAAGUCUAUCUCCUACCUAUGUGAGAAGAGUAAGCAAGCUACCUUGGACUGAGCCUCAAGCUAGUUCAGUUUCGGCUCCUAGGUUUAUGUGUAGAGAAAUGCGCUCAAUAGUUACGUCAGCUAUUGGUUCGCGCAAGUAGUUCCCCUCCGGCUAGUUCAUCCAGGUAAGCAACGUCUACUGCACGGGGAGUGGUGAGGGCGAGGUAUAAAGCCAAAAGAAGUUGGAGUUCCCCGCCAUCACCUCGCCUAGAUAUGGGGCUUCAAACCCUAAAGUUGCAGAGGCAAGUUCCAACCGAGGUAGGAGAUCCAUCAUAUCCAUACGAACAAACCAGCACAGGUAGCAGUGGUUGCCUUUACGUUUAUAGGGGGCUCGACCUACAACGGGAAGAACAGCGGGGGUAACAACCCUUAUAAUCUUAAGAUCAUAAGGACACGCCGGGCAGGUGGAAUUCAUUAUGUAGUUCUAAGGGCAAUGGCAACAACCCCUGCUACGAUAGGGAUACGCGAACAACUAAACCAUUGACUAAUUGAAGACUAAUGCCACACCUAUUUGAUUUCAUACACAUGCGACUCAAGAGCAGGGGUAGCCAACUCAGGCGGAGAUGGAUAAAACAAGGCGGAAUGCGGGAUAACAAAUUGUUCAGUUUGUCGGGAAGGGAAACUAGUUCUGCUGGUGAAAUGGUUGCUGCACUGACUGCACACUGGACUAGCUAAUCAAAGAAUGCGCUGCUGGAAAGAGGCUGGGAUGCUACCCUUGCUUCUGAAACCAACUGGAUCGACGGGUUUCACAACUGGCUAUGGCUCUCAAAUCGGAAGGUAUGUUGCGGGCCUAGGAACUGGAUAUGCAUCUAUAACUGGCUAUAGAUCUCAAACUGAAGCAAAAGCCUUUGAAACAUCAACAUUUGGUUCCGCUAUCACGCCUAUGCUGCCCAAGUGCACUUUCAUAUCAUAAGGUGCGACGUGUACCGGGCAAUCAAUCGGAGGCGCUCCACUGGGCUGUAAUAUCGAAUGAGAGUCAAAAUAUCCCCCCCGGGGGAUGACCUUGAAAAUACGUGACGUCCUAUACCAUCCAUCUGUGCUAAGAAAGGUUAUAUGUAUAAGGGCUAGGUUUCAUCCAUCUCAACAGCUAGUGUUUAUAAGAGCUCUAGUUCAUCCGUAGUUCCGUAUGUCUCAGCUAAGGUGGAGUCAUAGGCAAGUGCAACUCAAGUGGAUUCAGUGCCUGUUGAAGUGGCAAUCCCAUAACGAGUUUAUGAUUUGGAUCCAUACCCGGUGGAUCGAGUCUCCCGAGUCCAAGCGCAAAUUGCUAGGGUAGCAGUGGGAAAUAAAGGAGCAGAACCAUUCGUUGGAGAGACAGACGGUCAGUUACCCGAGUUGUAUUUUACCCGGAACCAGUUGAAGCAGCGGCUGAAGCAUAAACAGAUCAGGUGCCAGAUCGAGAUAGAGCCGACAAGAAAGGUCCCAAACGCCAUGAAUUGAGAUUAAAUAAUGAAGAAAACGGAAGGGGUAGACUUGGUUCAUACUGUAGGGGGCUUGCUUGAGUGAGAGUAGCGAAUCCAUCUUAAGCAAAACUAUAUUCUUUUGGCAACUAAUUAACAAUUAGAACAUAUCACCAUCAUUGCAAUUACUUUUAGUUUUCAAUUUUCGAAAAAAUGAAAACUAAAAACCAAAAAAUAAAAAUUGAAUGCCAUAAUUUGAAAACUCAUAGUUUUCAGUUUUUAACUUGAUUUUAGUUUUGAUGUUAGGUUGUUGGACUUAACUUUCAGGCUAUUGUUCUAGGAUUGUGAUCCAAGAUCCUCGACUUUGCAUUUCCAAGGUCCGAGUUCAAAGAUCCACAGUCAUGGCUUGCGUUUCUUCGAUUUCUUGGGUUCAAGAUCCGAUAUACAAAAUUGAGUUCCUCGGAUCAGACGGAAAAGGAUCCUCGUCGGAUCAUUUUUCUAGGGAUUUGCAAUCGUGUUCGUUUAUCGUACAUCGUAUAGUUAGAAAUUAUUUAAAUUUUAAAAUUUAAAUUUCAAGUAUAAAUAAUACCUAAUAAAAACUGAUCACACAAUGUACGAUGAACGGACCCGAUUGUAGAAUCCCUAGGAAAAGGAUGGAUCCUUUUCCGGAUCAGACUAAUCAGAGUUAUAGGUCCACAUUCGAAAUCCCACAUUUCUAUUGCUUGUAAUCCUUCAUUCCUUUGUAUUCUCAUAUUUAGUUUUAUAUUCCAUAUGACACGUUUUGGGUUUGAUUUCUGAUGUUGAUAAAUCGCAUGAUGGUGGUUAGGAGGACGGUGAAAUACCUUUAUGAGGACCUGGCAUUUGUGUUGUAUUUCUCGUGUUCGUGUCGUUUUCGUGUCAUACCCGAUAGCUUAACAGGGUCGUGUUGUGUAAUACCCGUUAAAGUAAACGGGUAAUAUGACUCGACCCGAAAUCAACCAGUUAAUAUUAUCAUGUAAUAUGACCCGACCUGUUACCGUUAAGAAAAAUAUAUUUCAAAUCAAUAAAAAUGAAAAUGAAAAACAUAAUCUGACCCCAAAAAAUGUAAAACAUAAUACUAAAUUAGUAUAUACACACUAAAUUUCGGAGUUGACCUCUUCAUGAAAGUUGUAAAUCUUUUUAUUACGAGUGAUUACAUUUUUCACACUUCUACAAUAAUUUUUAUUAAUUUUGCACUCAAAUAAAAAACACUGUUCAUGAGAUUUGGAGGGUUUUAAAAAUCUAAACGACUAUGUAACCAUCAUCUAAGCGUUGAUGAUGCAAUUAUAAACGUUUAUUAUGCUUUCACAUCUUUCAGACUUGUACAUUAAUGAUUAUGAAUUUUGUUUAUUUUGAACUCCCUUAAAAAUACUAUUCAUGAGAGUUUGUUUGGUUCUAAAAAUUCAAACGAUCAUAUACCCAUCCUCAAAGUGUAGAGGAUGCGACUAUGAGCGUUUACAUAUUUUUUUCAUAUUUUUCGCACAUGUAAAUUAAUUAUUAUAAUUUUUUUAAUGUGUUUGGUAUUUUUAAAUUACUUGAUAUUUUUAUUUUUAAUGUGUUUUAUGAUUUUUAAUCUUAAUCUUUGCCUAUUAUAUACUAUAAAAAUAAAUAAAUAAAUAAAUAAAACUUAAAUUUUAAAAUUUAUAUAGAAUAAUAAUUAAUAAACAAUAUAUACAUAUUCAUUAUAUCUAUUGUAUUUUAUAGUAAGUUUUUUUUAGUAGUUGUUGAACAACAAAAAUAUACAAAAUAUAUAUAUAUAUCGAGUCCGUACAAAUUGGUUCAAAUUACAAGGCAAAACAAAAAUGUAGUCCAACCCAAAAAAAAAAAUGGGCUUUACAUACAAAUUAACAUCCAUAAAUAAAAAAAAAAAAUAUGAAUGUCUUCCAAGAAAAGGGGGAAGAAACUGUGCAAAACCUAUUUUUCUGAAAGGCAUGAAAAAAAAAACUGCAUAGUUAGUGGGAGAAGUUAAGGGGAAGUGACAGGAGGUCAUGGCCUCCAUCUUCCUCCACGUAACAAAUUCUAGAGCUUUCUUGAGAUGCCUAUAAAUAGGCAUCAGCUACAGCAAGAAGGGGAAAAAAAAGAGAGGAGAAACUCUGUAGAAAAUAAGAGCAACUUUGAACUUUGAGAGAAAAUAUCAAAAGGCAACAAACUGCUGCUAGAAAAGAGAAUAAGGAGUCCAGUCAUUCGUGCAUUCAAGUCAAGAUCCAAAAGAAGAACAUUCAUCACCAGGUAUGAAAUAAGUUCUGUUAAUUUAUUUUUAUUUCUCUGGUUCAAUGUUGUGUUGCAGAUGGAAGUAAAAAAAAAAGGGUGCAUAACCAACUACUCAGAACUUGUAACCUUCAGUUUAUACAAGAAAAUUGCCGGAAAAGGUUUUUAUGCAUGGAAGGUUUCUUAAAUGGUAGUCCGACUACUUUUCUAUACCUACAACAACAACACAAUGCAGUCCAAAAAAAAAAUGGCAGCAGCCACAUGUUUUCUCUCUGCCUAAAUUUGAAGUUUCUCUCUGCCUAAAUUUGAAGAGAACAAAAAAAACAACAUGUUGGUACCAUAUUAUAUUGGGCCUCGUUACUUGGGCUUCCAGACAUUGAGCCAAUGAUUUAUGUAAAAGGGGAGGAGCCCUUAGUCUAUUAAAGGGAAUCCUCACCCUCACAAUCCUUAGGCCUCACAUCCCCAAACAGAGGCUCUCAUAUUCAGAGCAACCCUCUCACAAACAGAGAAACUCUCUCUUUCUCUGGGGGACUCCCCCUCACACUUGUAAUCCAUACAUUCAUACAAAGAAAUACAAUCAACAUCAGUAUGGACGUGGCCCAAAUAUUAGGGUGAACCACGAUACAUCUUGUGUUCUUUACUUUCUUGUAGAUUUACGGUCGGAUUUACGUUGUUCCAAGACCCCUCCGAUUUUGUGCAUCAACAUUUGGCGUCGUCUGUGGGAAACAACACGAAAAGCUAUAUCGGUUUUCUUUCAUUUUUCCAUCUCACUACCGUGAAAACUUCACAACCUCCACCGUGAAUCUGCACAACCCAAGAACCAAAACAAGCUACUCAUGAUCAAGAUAUUUCAUCCUUAUCAAGCAGCUAAUCUCCUCCGUCAAUCCCACCAACUCCAAGCGAGUCAUGUCAAGAGCAUGGGUGACAUGACUCCAGGCGAAAUCAUUAUGAGUUGAGGCACAAAAACAUCAUUUUAACUCCAAGCGGCUCUCUCUCUCAUAAGAGCUUUUCAGCCUCUAAAUUUCCCCAAUAAAAUGUUUCUUCUUCUUCUGCCUUUUCUCUUUAACCGUCGCCAGAUUUUCGUUAUUCUCCUUCAAGCUCUACCCCAAACCUGGAGAUCCGACGCCGGAGACGGAACCAGAGCUGGAGUGGGCCCACCGAGUCGGAGAGCUGGCGCUGACAGUGUUACGAGGUCUUGGUGACGGAGUUAGCCAUGGGCAUUCCCUGCGACGACGUCGUCAUGAUCCAGCAGAGGAAGACUCCCUACGAGCCGUCCAUCUUCACCCUCAACUGCCCCGACAAGGUUGGCCUCAACUGCGACCUCUACAGAAUCAUCCUCCAGUUCUGUCCCUCUUUCUCUCAUAAAAUCUGGUCUUAGCCUUCACGUCCAUCCACGGUCAUCGUCCCCGAGCAGCUUUCGUCAAUUCUCGAGCAGCUAAGGAACGAAACUGUUCGGUUCGAGCUCGCCGCCUUCCCCGUCCUUUCAAUUUCAGCUCCAAAUUCUCCGGUGAACCUAACCACGUCUUUCGGGGACCAUGGCCACUGGUUAUUCGGAUCACACAAUUAUGUUUAGUUCAUUUAUGUACUCUGGCUCGUUAGCAAAGAAGGAAUUCAGUUCUACACUGGCAUCACUAGACUGAACAAGCACAACAAAUGCAAGAAGGCAAAUGCUGCUGUACAUCCUACAUAUUUUCGAAUAACGGAAGGCACGAGCAUAUCUGAUUCUUGUCAGCAGUGAGAACCGGAGUUCAGGAGCCCUGUGCCAGAGACAUGAGAUAACUGUUUACAGAACCACAACCGAUCAUCUUCCCACUGACGUGCAUCUUGAAGGGAUUUAUUUUCACAAGUGCGGAAAGAAUUUCUAAUGCAGCUAUAAAGACCUCGGGAUUUGAAUGACAAUUGAUACGUUGAUUCCAAAAAGAGGAGGCGGCAACAUCGCCGACUUAAGCUGCGACUCGAUGUCGUAGUAGAGAGCUUUAUCAGCGAGCUCCUGCUUGGAGAACAAGCGUGUCGCGGAAGGGAAGCCUUUCAAUCGGAGAAGAGAGAGGAUGACGAAAAAGAUCUCUGGGUCCCGGUCAAUGAAAAUUGGGUUCGGGUUAUCCGGUUCCAGCUUCAAUGGCGAUGGAGUACGAGUGUUGUACCAGUGGAUUCUUCAUUCACACAGUGGUCAUCGUGCUGCUAGUGCUGUUCGUGGGGCUAAUGUCCGGGCUCACCUUGGGCCUCAUAUCCAUGAGCCUUGUCGAUAUCGAAGUCCUCGCCAAGUCUAGGACGCCGAAGGAUCGCAAGCACGCAGAAAUAAUCCAACCCCUGCAGAUUCACAAAGGCACCAAAAGCAAUUGGCUGGUGACAGUAGUGCAACUUUAUGGCUUUCCUAUCAUGCUUCCCUACUAUUUCAUCCCAGCAAGCAGAAAUAAUCCAACCCCUGCAGUUUUGAAAGUUGUAGGAAAUGAAUGGGAAACAAAAGCAAAAACAGAAAGCAAAAGUAGGAAAAAAAGAAGGGAAGAAAAUAAAAAGAAGGAAAAAGCAGACAUAAUUGCAGUGGUGAAAUGACGUGAUUGUAGAGAAAGGAAUUAUGGAUAUAACCCAUUGAGCAGGUUUUGCCCCCCGCAACUGCCAGCUGCACAUGCUAUCCCACUAUCCAACCAUCUUCCAUACCCUCCUUCUAGCGUAAAAAAAAAAAAAGGGCAAAAUAGUUGGCUGGAAUGUUAUGUGGAAUGCGAAGGCCCAUAUGCCCAAAAGAGUCAGGCCCUAUGGCUUCAAACUCCAACCUCCAUCCCUCCAUUUAAGGUUUACCCUCUAUUAUCACCAACCAGGUGAUCAAAAGUAUGUCCAGUACUCUAAAAUUAUUUGGCAGUCUGCUGCUAUUAUCACCAACCAGGUGGUCAAAAGUACGUCCAAUACUCUAAAAUUAUUCGGCAGCCUCCCACUAUUAUCACCAACCAGGUGAUCAAAAGUACAUCCAAUACUCCAAAAUUAUUCGGCAGCCUACCACUAUUAUCACCAACUAGGUGAUCCAAAGUACGUCCAGUACUCUAAAAUUAUUCAGCAGCCUGCCGUUAUUAUCACCAACCAGGUGAUCAAAAGUAUAACCCGUUCUCCAAAAAAUCAUACAUGAGCAUCACUCAUGACAAUCACCAUCAUACAUGAGCAUCACUCAUGUCAAUCAUACAUAAACAUUCAUGAGCAUCACUUAUGUUAACAUUCAUGAGCAUCACUUAUGUUAACAUUCAUGAGCAUCACUCAUGUCAACAUCCAUGAGCAUCACUCAUGUCAAUCAACAUAAACAUUCAUGAGCAUCACUCAUGUCAAUCAGCUUCGAAAGCUUCAUUUUCAAAAGCUUCAGCUUUGAAAGCUUCAUUUACAAAGCUCCGACUUCAAAGCUUCAUUUAUAAAAGCUCCAGCUUCAAAGCUUCACUUUCAAAGCCUCACCUAUAAAACUUCACUUUCAAAGCCUCACCUAUAAAACUUCACUUUCAAAGCUUCAGUGCAUGGUAUACAAAGACCGCAUUUGAACAACCGCUAUUUUGGCCCAUACAUGGAUUGAAUUUGAAAGUCUUCAGCUAACAAACUCUAUUGACUGAAGACUUGGGGGACUACACUAUGUACCAUAUAUUGGAUUUCCGCAAUUGUGCCUCAUGAAAAAUACUCGGGGGGACUUAGCCCAUUAUUUAUGUAUUGAGGGGUGAACCCUUAUUCUAUAAAAAGGGACUCCCUCACUUUCAUUAGAGAGCACCCAUUAUUCAUGUACUGAGGAGCGAACCCUUAUUCUAUAAAAAGGACUCCCCCACUUUCAUUAGAGAGCACCCAUUAUUCAUGUAUUGAGGAGCGAACCCUUAUUCUAUAAAAUGGACUCCCUCACCUUCAUUAGAGAGAGACUUUUAGCCCAUCACUUAUGUAUUGAGGAGUGAACCCUUAUUCUAUAAAAGGGUCUCUCUCACCUUCAUUAGAGAGCAUCACCGCCAGCUAAGCAACCGCCUCGCCCCGAGCAUCAGUCAUAAACAAUCACUUAUGUAUUGAGGAGCGAACCCUUAUUCUAUAAAAGGGACCCCCUCACCAUCAUUAAAGAGCAUCAUCGCCUGCUGAGCAAACGCCUCGCCGCAAACAUCAACUCUAGCCCAUCAUUUAUGUAUUGAGGAGCGAGCACUUAUUCUAUAAAAUGGACUCUCUCACGUUCAACGCCACAAGCCGAGCCAACCAAGGCAACAUAAGCCAUAAGCUAAGCAGCCUCGCAACAUUUGCUACUUCUAGUUGAGCAUCAUUUCACAUUGAGCACCGCCUUAUAUCGAGUAUCAGUUCUAGACAACAUCUAGUUACUUCGGCCCACACAUGGACUGAAUUUUAAGUCUCCGGCCAAAAGACUCUCUUGACUGAAGACUUGGGGGACUACUGUUGGUACCAUAUUAUAUUUGGCCUCGUUACUUGGGCUUCCAAACAUUGAGCCCAUAAUUUAUGUAAAAGGGGAUGAGCCCUUAGUCUAUAAAAGGGACUCCUCAUCCUCACAAUCCUCAGGCCUCACAUCCCCAAAUAGAGGCUCUCAUAUUCAGAGCAACCCUUUCACAAACAGAGAAACUCUUUCAAACUCUCUCUUUCUCUAGGGGACUCCCCCUCACACUUGUAAUCCAUACAUUCAUACAGAGAAAUACAAUCAACAUCAGUGUGGACAUAGCCCAAACAUUGGGGUGAACCACGAUACAUCUUGUGUUCUUUACUUUCUUGCAGAUUCACAGUCGGAUUUACGUUGUUCCAAGACCCCUCCGAUUUUGUGCAUCAACAAAACACACAAGAGUUCCACUCCUUACCAGUAACGUCAUUCCCAUGAAUUUCUUCGGGUGGCCUAGACCAUCCCGUGAAAUUCCCAUCAAGACAAGAAAGAGGGGAGCCAUUGGUGUCACAGCAAACAAUGGAUUUGAUAUAGAAAGAGCAAGUUUCGACUCCAAACAUCGACCUAAAAGCAUUCAAGAGGAAAAGUACGAAAACAUACUCCAAGAGAGUGACUAAAGGAAGAAAAGUUUCUAUAAAAGCUAAAGAAGGUGGAUAUCAUAUUUGGAAACGCUAGAGGGAGUAAGGUCACGUGAUUGACAAAUAAAGACAUCUUUCUGUAAAAGCUAAAGAGGUGACCGACUCAUGCUUGGGAAGUUCCCUAAUUCAACACCUGAUAAAGACAAAUGAACAAUGUGGAUGCCAUUUUUGUCAAAUAUUGACCAAAAGCAUUGAAAUGAAACUGUCAAUAUGCUACAAGACAAAAGGGAAAGAAAGAAAAUUUUCCAAUCUCUAAAGAAAUAGCUAAAAGGUAUUUGGUUCCUUGCCACGUGAAGGUGGAACAAAGAGUUUCAUCAUGUCAAAACUUCUCACUUGCUCUCUGCCAUGUGAAGAUGGAACAAAGAGUUUUCAUCGUGUCAAAUUUCUCACUUGCUCUCUGCCAUGUAAAAAUGGGACCAUGUGAAAAUGGGACAAAAAAAAAUUGCUACCAAGUCAUUUAGGAAACCAACCCACCAAGCGGAACAACCCGUAGCAAAUGAAAAAUUGGAUGACAUAACAUUGGGUAGAUUCUUAUCUGAGAGCAGCUACAAUUCAUAUGACAAUAAAGCAGGACAAAAAAAAAAGGUGAUAUAAUUCGAGUUCAAAUAUACUUUCUCACUACAGGACUGGCAAACAUUUGAGGGCAUGAUUGGCUAUUCUUCAAAAAGAUUUGAAAGUUAAUGAAAACUUUAGCAAGUUCACGGGCAUUCACAUAGGCAAACAUCACUUUGUACAAUGGAGAAAAUAUGGCAGGUAUCAAAGGCAGCACACAGGAAGAAGCAAAAAGAAAUAAGGGCAUACCACAGACUUUAGAGUGCAUUCCUCACCUUUGGAGCCAUAAAUUAACACUUGUCCAAACAACCGAAUGGAAGAGAGGUCUGUUGCCAGGGACAGCCUGCAUGAAAUAAUUAAACCAAUCAGUUGCAGUUCAGAACUUCAACCCACUCCAAAAUCAAACCCAGAAAAUAGAAAACGAAAAGGGGAGAACUUGCUCGAUCUCUUCUCCUCUUCGUCUUGAUUUUCUUUCGACCUACAAAAAAAGCACACGAGCAAAAAGAAUAAAGGCAGCAGAAGAAAAAGAAAUCAUGACCUCAUAAUAAAAAAGAGAAGAGUCCUUACGGUUUAGGGAGGAAAAAAGGGUAAAUUGGAACAAAUCAAGGAGUUUGAACUCUACCAAUCUCACCCAUCUUCGUUUGGAAAUCAACGGUUGACAAACCUGAAAAGAAUUCCAAAACAUUACGAAAUCAUUUGAAGCCCAAGUAUUACGGUUGCUGCUGGAUGAAAACCACAUGGUUAGAGUCAAGAAAAGGAAGACUUCUGAAGCAAUUACACAAGAGAAGGGAUGGAUAAAGUCGCACCACAUGAGGGGGCUUGCUCACGUGGAAAAGAAGGAAAGUUGUUGGGCUUGGAAGCUGUAAAAUCACAUAAAAAAUUAGAUAGUAAAACUUAUUGUUAGAUUGGAAAAAUACAAAUGGGUUUUUAAAAAUCCCCAUGAUAAAGAGUUGAAAGUUCAACAACAAACAACAACAAAGCCUUUUCCCACUAAGUGGGGUCGGCUAUAUGAAUCCUAGAACGCCAUUGCGCUCGGUUUUGUGUCAUGUCCUCCGUUAGAUCCAAGUACUCUAAGUCUUUUCUUAGAGUCUCUUCCAAAGUUGUCCUAGGUCUUCCUCUACCCCUUCGGCCCUGAACCUCUGUCCCGUAGUCACAUCUUCGAAUCGGAGCGUUAGUCGGCCUUCUUUGCACAUUUUCAAAAUCACCGGAGCCGAUUUUCUCUCAUAUUUCCUACAAUUUCGGCUACUCCUACUUUACCUCGGAUAUCCUCAUUCCCAAUCUUAUCCUUUCUCGUGUGCCCACACAUCCCACGAAGCAUCCUCAUCUCCGCUACACCCAUUUUGUGUACGUGUUGAUGCUUCACCACCCAACAUUCUGUGCCAUACAACAUCACUAGCCUUAUUGCCGUCCUAUAAAAUUUUCCCUUGAGCUUCAGUGGCCUACGACGGUCACACAACACGCCGGAUGCACUAUUUCCAUCCAGCUCGUAUUCUAUGGUUGAGAUCUCCAUCUAAUUCUCCGUUCUCUUGCAAGAUAGAUCCUAGGUAGCGAAAACGAUCGCUUUUUGUGAUCUUCGCUAGAUUGCUCCGGUCAUUAGUGUGGAUAAGUAUAUAAAUGGAUAGAGAUAGGAAAGCAAACACAAAGAUGUACGUGGUUCACCCAGAUUGGCUACGUCCACGGAAUAGAAGAGUUCUCAUUAAUUGUGAAGGGUUUACACAAGUACAUAGGUUCAAGCUCUCAUUUAGUGAGUACAAGUGAAUGAUUUAGUACAAAUGACAUUAGGAAAUAUUGUGGGAGAAUGAUCUCGUAAUCACGAAACUUCUAAGUAUCGGAGUGUGGUGUCGUCUUGACUUGCCUUAUCUGUCUCAUAGGUAGAUGUGGCAUCUUCUCUGGAAGUACUCUUCCUCCAUCCAGGGGUGGUAUCUUUAACUGGUGGAGAUGCACAAGGUAAUGUAUCAAUUUCACUUGAAGCUUACUUGUAGUUUCAGGCUUGGUCAAGCGCGAUACAAACCAUGUAGUAGGAGUCCCCCAAGUCGCCGAGCUAGGGGGUCUGCUGAAAGAGGUGACAGACAAGGUAAGCAAUCAGAGCUCCGACUGAUUGUUCACCUUCUCCCCAUCUUGCAGCAGCAUGAAGGAUAAAGAGAAGAAAAAUGAGAAGAGAUGAUAUGAGAUACUUUUGCUUUUGAAGAAGUAACUUUCCACAGGCUUAUUCUUGAACUGAGCUGGAGGGUUUUCUGGUUUCCUCCAGAGUAUAAGGCCGACUGAAGAAUUUGAGGGUCAAAACAAGUCCAUCAAAUCUAGAGUACGUUCCACCCUGCUGAUAUGGGAUACUUUUGCUUUUGACAGAGUAAUGAAUGUAUCGGCACGUGUGCUGUUACGCUUGUCUCCACAUGCUUCCUUGUAUCCUUCGCACUUGCCCUAUCUGUUCCUCAAGCAGAUGCAGAAUCUUCCCUGGAAACAUAAGAUGUUGAAGAUGAGUACUCGAGAGCAAUGCCAGGUAAGUAAUCAGGUAAGGGGUUCCAGGCAGUCAGUUCCUGGCUGGAAGCUUGAUUCCAAGUGCUGACUGAUUGCUCUCUUUCUCCUUGUCUUGCAGGUAAAAACAAGGCCAAAAGAAAAGACAGGGAAAAAACAUGAUAUGGGAUACUCUUGCUUUUAACCCUGAUGAUAUGAGAUAUUCUUGCUCUAGUAUAGCUUGUUUGCAGAGGUAUUAUCGGGGGGAAAGAAAGCUGAAUAUUUUCGAAAGGCUUCGUUGGGAGUGCCCUCUCAGAUAUGAUGAAGGGUUGAGCAUUUUUGCAGGUCUGCCUGUCCGUUGGGGAUGGAGGUCGACAUAUAUAGGAGUCUCCCUAACAACAAGUAGUAAUGCUAUUCCUUUACCCUGCUUGGUCAUAGCACGGUAGUGGGAGCUGCCAGUUUCACAUGUUUUAACUCUGUCAGAGCACUUUGAAAAAGUGGUAUGUGGUAUCUGGCUCUCGAGAUUCGGAGAACGAUGCCUCUUCGAUUUUUGAGAAAGCAAUCAUGCUGGGGGUAUGACUCUCGAGAUUCGGAGAGCAGUCUCUUCGAUUUUUGAGGAAGUAAUCAUGUUGGGAGUCUGGCUCUCGAGAUUCGGAGGGCGGUGCCUCUUCGAUUUUGGAGCAAGCAAUCUUGUUGGGAGUGUUUGUCUCGAAUGUGAGUAAAGGUUGGGCAUGUUUGCUAGUCUACCUUGCCACGAAGCACAAAGGUUGACACACAGGGACUUUCCAAUUAUCCAGCAAUGGUACUGUUCCUUUACCCUCUCUUCGAUUUUGAGAAAGUAGUCAUGUUGGGAGUCUGACUCUCGAGAUUCGGAGGACGGUGCCUCUUCGAUUUUGGAGCAAGCAAUCUUAUUGGGAGUGUUUUCUCGAAUGUGAGUAAAGGUUGGGCAUGUUUGCUAGUCUACCUUGCCACGAAGCACAGAGGUUGACACACAGGGACUUUCCAAUUAUCCAGCAGUGGUACUGUUCCUUUACAGUUGUGGGUAAUAAUAUGGUAGCUAGACCUUCAAAAUUUAUGUGUUUAAACUUUUGUUAGUGCUGUUUCUUUGCUAUUCUUUUACCUUUCUUGGUCAGAGCGAUGUAGUGGGAGCUGCAAGCUUCACGUGCUCAACUUUGGCAGAGAACUUUGGCAAAGUUAUUUGUGGUACCCAUGAGCUAUUGUUUGCGUGUGGGAAGUGGGUGAUUGAACAGUAAGAUUCAUGUGCUUUCUACUUCACCAGAAGUCUUCGACAGAAUGCCCAUAAUUUCUGCAAAGCUGAGUGUGCGUGUGACAGGUGCUGACAAGGCUAGAAAAGUAGGUGCCUCUUCGAUUUCUGAGAUCGGCCCUCGUGGUCUCUGAGCAGCCCAGCUUUUGAGAAAGCGAGCGCCUCUUCGAUUGAUUCGGAGAACGAUGCCUCAUCGAUUUUUGAGAAAGCAAUCAUGCUGGGGGUCUGGCUCUCGAGAUUCGGGGAGCAGUGUCUCUUUCGAUUUUUGAGAAAGUAAUCAUGUUGGGAGUCUGGCUCUCGAGAUUCGGAGGGCGGUGCCUCUUCGAUUUUGGAGCAAGCAAUCUUGUUAGGAGUGUUUUUCUCGAAUGUGAGUAAAGGUUGGGCAUGUUUGCUAGUCUACCUUGCCACGAAGCACAGAGGUUGACACACAGGGACUUUCCAAUUAUCCAGCAAUGGUACUGUUCCUUUACCCUCUCUUCGAUUUUUAAGAAAGUAGUCAUGUUGGGAGUCUGGCUCUCGAGAUUCGGAGGACGGUGCCUCUUCGAUUUUGGAGCAAGCAAUCUUGUUGGGAGUGUUGUCUCGAAUGUGAGUAAAGGUUGGGCAUGUUUGCUAGUCUACCUUGCCACGAAGCACAGAGGUUGACACACAGGGACUUUCCAAUUAUCCAGCAAUGGUACUGUUCCUUUACCCUCUCUUCGAUUUUUAAGAAAGUAGUCAUGUUGGGAGUCUGGCUCUCGAGAUUCGGAGGACGGUGCCUCUUCGAUUUUGGAGCAAGCAAUCUUAUUGGGAGUGUUUUCUCGAAUGUGAGUAAAGGUUGGGCAUGUUUGCUAGUCUACCUUGCCACGAAGCACAGAGGUUGACACAUAGGGACUUUCCAAUUAUCCAGCAGUGGUACUGUUCCUUUACCCUUGUGGGUAAUAAUAUGGUAGCUAGACCUUCAAAAUUUAUGGGUCUAAACUUUGUUAGUGCUGUUUCUUUGCUAUUCUUUUACCCUUCUUGGUCAGAGCGAUGUAGUGGGAGCUGCAAGCUUCACGUGCUCAACUUUGGCAGAGAACUUUGGCAAAGUUAUCUGUGGUACCCAUGAGCUAUUGUUGCGUGUGGGAAGUGGGUGAUUGAACAGUAAGAUUCAUGUGUUUUUCUACUUUCCCAGAAGUCUUUGACAGAAUGCCCAUAAUUUCCGCAAAACUGAGUGUGCGUGUGACAGGUGCUGACAAGGCUGGAAAAGGCUGGAAAAGUAGGUGCCUCUUCGAUUUCUGAGAUCGACCCUCGUGGUCUCUGGGGAGCCCAGCUUUUGAGAAAGCGAGCGCCUCUUCGAUUUUUGAGAUCGGCCUUCGUGGUCUUUGAGCAGCCCAACUUUUGAGAAAGCAAACGCCUCUUCGAUUUCUGAGAUCAACCCUCGUGAUCUCUAAGCAGCCCAGCUUUUGAGAAAGCAAACGCCUCUUCGAUUUCUGAGCAGGCGCCUCUUCGAUUUCUGAAGCUUCGUCGAGUGCAGAUUUUUAUAGGGGCUGGCAUUAAGUUCCAAAGCACACUUGAAUCUCCACCAGUAGAAGCUUCAUUCUUGCACUUCUAAGAUCUUGAUUUGUCCGACCUCUUCUCUCUUCAACACCUUUGAAAAUGUCUGGCCCCUCCGACCGUCGUUUUGACUUGAACCUUGUUGAAGAGGCAGCCCCGCCUUCUCCAGACAACAUAUGGCGCCCAUCCUUCGUCUCCCCUACUGGUCCUCUUACCGUUGGGGAUUCCGUGAUGAAGAAUGAUAUGACCGCUGCGGUGGUGGCCAGGAACCUUCUCACUCCCAAAGAUAACAGACUACUUUCCAAACGGUCUGAUGAGUUAGCUGUUAAGGAUUCGCUGGCUCUCAGUGUUCAGUGUGCAGGUUCUGUGUCUAAUAUGGCCCAACGCCUAUUUGCUCGAACCCGCCAAGUUGAAUCAUUGGCGGCUGAAGUGAUGAGUCUCAAACAGGAGAUUAGAGGGCUCAAGCAUGAGAAUAAACAGUUGCACCGGCUCGCACAUGACUAUGCUACAAACAUGAAGAGGAAGCUUGACCAGAUGAAGGAAACUGAUGGUCAGGUUUUACUUGAUCAUCAGAGAUUUGUGGGUUUGUUCCAAAGGCAUUUAUUGCCUUCGUCUUCUGGGGCUGUACCGCGUAAUGAAGCUCCAAAUGAUCAACCUCUGAUGCCUCCUCCUUCUAGGGUUCUGUCCAGUACUGAGGCUCCAAAUGAUCCCCCUCCGGUGCCUUCUCUUUCUGGGGCUCUACCGACUGCUGAGACUUCUCCUAAGCAACCUUUGUGAAGGCUCCCUCUUGUGUGCUUAUUUUGACUCAUGUAUAUGUACAUAUUUGUAGCUUAUCGGGGAUAUCAAUAAAUAAGCUUUCCUUCAUUUCGACGUAUUGUGUUAAAUACACCAAAGCCUUCUUCGCUAAGUUCUUUGAAUUUUCUUUUGUUAAAGCUUGUAUGUUGAAGCUUUCUGAGUGGAGCAUGUAGGUUGGGGUAGUGUUCCCUUAAUUUCCCGAGUGAGGAAAACUUCUCGGUUGGAGACUUGGAAAAUCCAAGUCACUGAGUAGGAUCGGCUAUAUGAAUCUUAGAACGCCAUUGUGCUCGAUCCUGUGUCAUGUCCUUCGUUAGAUCUAAGUACUCUAAGUCUUUUCUUAGAGUCUCUUCCAAAGUUUUCCUAGGUCUUCCUCUACCCCUUCGGCCCUGAACCUCUGUCCCAUAGUCGCAUCUUCUAAUCGGAACGUCAGUAGGCCUUCUUUGCACAUGUCCAAACCACCGUAACCGAUUUUCUCUCAUCUUUCCUUCAAUUUCGGCUACUCCUACUUUACCCCGGAUAUCCUCAUUCCUAAUCUUAUCCUUUCUCGUGUGCCUUGUGGAAAUCCCACUUUGUCUUCAAGUCUCAAGAAAAAGUUUGAACGGUGCAUCUCACGAGGGGCUGGGAGUCCCACUUUAUGUCUUCAAAACUACUUAAGGAAAAGACAAAAUAAAACCCUUAUUUCACAAAGCCUAUUAGGCAAAUACGAAGGUCAUAUGUGGGUUUUUAAUAAAUCCAAUUGUCUUUUCAUUUAGCCAAAGUCUGAACACAAAUCCAAAUCAAAUAUCAACAAACCAUAUGAACUACGCCGGUUUGAUUCCAUUAAGGAUACGUAGGCAGUCUGAUAUCAAAUUAUAGACGCAACCGUGAAAUCAAGACGAAUCCCUGAUUUAUAUAAACUAAAUUCAUUUCUGUUACUUUGACCAAGUAAUUACAAAUUCUAUGAAGAGUAAAAGAGAAGCGAGCCGGUUCAAAUUAUGAGCCGCUUCAAAUGGUACAAAGCCGUUUCACAUUACAAAUGGCACGAAGCCACAUCAAAUUUCAAAUGGCAUGAAGCCGCAUCAAAUCCCAAAAGGCAUAAAGCUGAAGAAAAAUCUCAAAUGGCAUAAAGCUGAAUCAAAAGCUCCAAUGGCUUAAAGUCCUUAACUGCAAGAGCCUAAACUGCACAAGGCACAAACACUUCAAUGGCGCAAAGUCCUUACCCGCAUGAGCGAAAAUUGUACAAGGCAUCAAAUCCAAAAAAGUAUCAAGUAUACAAAGAACUACGAGUAACUUGAUCCCUCAACGAGGGUACGUAGGCAAUCUAGGGCUCUACCUAGACGUAGUUACACAAUCAAAUAAACACCCAAAUCCCCAAGUUACGAUUUAUUCAUAUUAGAAUCAAAAGGUAUUCCUUUCCCAAAAGAAAGGUUGUAAUUAAUAGGCGCGUAGUCUAGAAUGGGUCGAACUCGAAUUAAUAAAACCCUCUUCGAAAAAAUGAAUGAGGGUGAAAUUGUGUCGAAAGAAUUAUGUGUUUACAUAUUAUGUACAAUUUUUGCUCAAUAGUAGUUUACAAAAUUAAAAUUAUCAAAAUAAAUUUUUUCUUAUCAUGUCGAAACAGGUUACCAGCGUGUCGCUCUCGUGUAAACUUGUUAAAGACCCGUUAUUAAAGGGUUAUUAUCGUGUGACCCGAUAAUGACCCGAAUAGUUAUCGUGUGACCCAAAACUUGUUAUUUUUGUGUCGUUUACGUGUUGUGUAAGAAAUUGCCAGUCUAAUCUUCCCUGUCCUUGAAAGGGUGGACUAUUGUGGCGAAGCCACCAACUAGUCCCCUUUUCAAAAAAAAAAAACUAUAAUGUUGGAAUUGUGAACCAUUUGCCUUUUUGAACAAAUGAUUUAGGGUUUAAUUGGCGCACUUCAAAUAUCAAAAUGUUUGUACAUUUCAGGUAAAAAGAUUAAAACUCAUUUUCCUUUUUGAACAAAUGAUUUAUUUUUAAUUUUUAAUUUUAUUUGAGGGGAUGGAGUUGAAAUCCGAUUAACAAAUGGUCUUUCUAGGGUUAACUUAAUCGUCUUCUUCAAUGAAAAUUUAUAUAAAGUUGAAAUUCGAAGGGGAUGGCUGAAUCUCAAAUACAUUGGGCUUUGUCUAAGAUUGGGUGGUCAUGUGGGCCUUGUCUUGCAUUCCAUUUCAGCCCAUUAUUAUAUUUAUUUUUUUGUUAGAAAACCCAUCUAGUUUUAAUGACAAAUAGGUUUUAAAUUACAUUAUUUUUUCUCUGUCUUGAUAAAAGGGUAGCUUCUAGAAGCAAUAGCGUAGGUAGGUCAGUUUAAAAACGUUAUCCGUAACGUAAGCAUCGCGAACACGUGACAAGUCGCCCCUCGUCACAUUAGUUAAAUCCAAAACGAGAUUAUUAAAAUAAAAAUUAUAAAUUAUAAAAAAAUAAUCAUAUUUAUCCAAAAAAAACCCAGAAAAAAGUUAACCAUUUUGAUAGGGACAGGAAAUUAAUGAGAGAACUUUAAUGAAAAACUUUCAGUACUGUUUACUUUAACGAAAAAAUCAUAUUUUUACACUAAAAAGUCAAUCAUAGUACUAUUCACUUUAUCUUUGAUUUUAUCAUUAUUAUUAAAACUUAAAAUUUUCAAAUUAUUUUUAUUAAUUUUCCUAAUUAAUAAAGCAUCACUUAUCUAACUUUGGGAAAAAUUUAUACGAAACGCUUACAUAACGAUACAUUGUUGAAUCAAAACGCUAUUUAACGGUAAUUUCCUUUUUUGUUGUGGCUGGAUUUUCUGACAGUUUCCUUUUUCUAGUUAAAAUUUUCAUGUCGGUUUUAAUACCGAAAAGAGAAAAAUAAAUAAAAAAUUAGAAAAAAAGGAAAGCGGAGGGACAAAGGAGGUGCAACCGGUUUUUCUCAGAGCUUCUAAAGUCUUAAAGACACACGUCCGUAGUCCGCACAAUACACGAACAAACAUUACAACUUCAAGCGUUUUAGAGAGAGAAAGUGUGUAUUUAGAGAGAGAAAGGGAGGGAGAGGAUAGGGGUUGAGUAUUUGGGCGAAUUCUGGGUUUAGGGUAGAGCAGCGGCAGACAUGGAGAGCAAAGUGGAUGAGGUUUCUGUUGAGCUCUCAGCUCCUCCUGCUUGGAAGAAGAAGGUCUCUCUCUCUCUCUCUCUCUCUCUCUCUCUCUCUCUCCUGUUUACUCACUCAAAUUUUAUAUGUAGCUCUAUUUGAAUGCUGUAUAAUUUUGUUGUAGCUCUUUUUUGCUUCGAAUCUUAGGGUUCUGCCUCUGGUUCUGCUUGAGCUGCUUCAAUUUUUAGCUUUAGUCAGAACUUUGUUUUUGAAUUGCUUGGUUUUCAAAGUUAGGGUUUUCACUUUAGCAUUUGAAUUUUUAAUUCAUGGAAGUAAAAUUUGUGUGCCCAAAUAAGUGCAGUAACUUCAAUUGUUAAGAUUUCCUUUGAAGUGCUCUGCUUUCAACUUGGUCUGUGCUGAUUGUUGUUUUAUAAUUUUGCUCUUGUUAGUGUAAAUUAGUAGCUAAUUUUGGUGAUUACCCAACAAUUAUAUGUUCAAAUAUAGGAAUUAGGAAUAUAUAAUUUUCUUCUGUAAGAUCAUAUUUUUGUUGGCGGUUUGUGGGAAUCUCUGUUAAUUUGUUGGAAAACUUACUCUUGUAGAAGUAAAAAUCGAGCGAUUUCCAGAUAAAGGAAGUGUAACUCUGUAAGUUCACUAAUCUAAAAAGCUAGGAGAAAUUAUUAAUAGCUGAAUGUUAUUAGCUGCUAAUAGAUCCUGGCGGUUUCCUUCACCGUUGCAAAUUGCAAGUGUGAUAGACUUGCUAGAGGUGGUUCUGAACUUAAGAGUUGUUAGUUUUUCGUAUGAUGAAGGAACCCCUAUGACCCAUUCCCUUGUCGGGUACAAGGUUUGAGGGAAAUUAUCCAAAAACCACGUAUCCUUCAAGCUAUAAAUUUUUCUUCAAAUUUAGGACCCUCCUGAUAUUACUGAACUCAAGAAUUUUCUUCAACAUUUGCACCCUGGAUUCCAUUUAUAUUGAUAGGUGCUGUGAAUGUUUCCAAAAGAAAGUUUAAACUAUUUCCCGCCCCGACGGGUUUCUUUUUGUUAUUUUUAGGUAGUUUUGAUUCCACUAGGUCAUAACUGAUUUUUCAAUCUGUUAACUGUUGUCCGUUAAUGAAUAAACUAGUGAGGUAAUCUACCGUUAAUGAAUAAACUAGUGAGGUAAUCUAAUCACAUCAAAUCUUGUUUAGUUACUUUCGACAAAAAGAAAAAAUCUUGUUCAGUUACAGUUGGCUCACUUAAGUCAUGAAUGGCGUUUCCACAUGUCUCUGUUUUUUUCUUAGUCAUUCUUGUCUUUGAAUCAUGUACAAUGAUCAAGUAUGGAAAUAAUUUGUAGCCCCCCUUUGUAGAAACCGUUCUAACCCUACAAACCUAAUGUUGCACUAUCACACAGGUUAUUUUACAAAUUUUAGGCUUGGGGCAAUUCCAAUUUUUGUACACAUCUCUAUACUCUGGGUUGUUUAACUGCAAGGUCAGAUAGAACCUUAACCUGGUCAGACAUGCUUUGAUGAGGAAUCCCAUUUUAUUAGUGCACUAAUUUAGUUUUUCAGUUGUAUGCUACACUAACUUCAAAAGCGGUUUUGAUUAGGACUUCCAUCUGGUAGCCCUAGCUAGCAGCUUUAGCUUAACCUAAUAUCUGCUUUAUGUUACAAUUGCUUCUGUUAAAUUUGUAUUAGUAUUAGUAGAAAUUUGAUGUGGGCCCUUUAGGUUGUGGACCUGAAGUUUGUAGACAUUUGAUGUGGGCCCUUUAGGUUGUGGACCUGAAGUUUGUAGACAUUUGAUGUGUGCCCUUUAGGUUGUGGACCUGAAGUUUGUAGACAUUUGAUGUGUGCCCUUUAGGUUGUGGACCUGAAGUUUGUCUACCAGUGUUCAGUGAACCACCAAUACUGGAUGAUUUGGGUCCUAUAAAAAUAGGUUGUGUACCCUUUGCGUAUAUCAGAACUUGAUUUAUAUUUUGUAAUCAACUUCAUAUAGGAUGUUUUAAAGGCAAUAUUCUGUAAGCAUGGGAAAAUCACAGUAUAUCUAAUUUAUGACACUGUUUUGUUUUGAACUAGCUGUGUGUUCCACUUUCUGCUGCAACCAUCGGCUAUUACAAGCUUGCUAAAGAUAAUAAACAUUGAUUUUGGCUGAGCCUUUUCCUUCUGCCUUUCAUUUGUUUGUUUAAAAGUAAGCACAUGGAAUUCAAAAUUUCUUCCUUCAAACUGCAUUCCAAGCAUGCUAUUUUAUUUCUAAUAUUGAUAACUUAUGCUGCUGCAUGACCAAAUUUUCUCUUGAUUUACUUUCGGUAAAAAAUAUUUUGUUGUCAGAAAGUAAUCAAUUUUUCAAAUGUUUAGCAGUUGGUAGUAAAGGGCUCUCAGUUGUGAUUCCUAGUCUACUCUUCCUCUUCCUAAGGACAAGGAAUGGGUAAUAUUGACAUGGGGCAGAAUGUGUCUAGGUGCGGAAAUUCUGGUUUUUUUUUCUUUGGGUGACCGACCAUAUAUUUCAUUAAAUUUGAGAUCUAUAACAGACAAACCGCUGCUACAUUCUAACCAUCUGGCAAAGAGUAUUUUCUGGUUGGAAAUAUGACAGUGCUUAUACCCAACACUGACCAUUUAAAAUAGGAAUUUCAUCUUGAACACCACUUAAUUAUUUACGAUGUUGGAGAAUGUGUUCAGUUGAAUUUUUUUUUCCUUUUGGGUUAGAAAACGGGCACAAAGCGCAAACAACCACAACACAAAAAAGAAAAACUCAACCCCUAGAGCUAGAUCAUACAGCUCUUGGCUCCAACUAAAUCAUCCAAAACAGCAGCAGAAACUUCAGGACGAGAAUCCUUAAAGAAAGAACAACCCAGUGUGGUAACCUGAAUUUGAAAUGAAUACUGUUCUAAUGUGCUGAUAUUUCCUGUUCUUUUCUUUCCUUUAUAUGUUUUCAAUAUGUACUUUACACUUGCACAUAGAUGCACAUGUUUGAUACAAUAAGAAGAGGUGAAAAGUAUAGCCAGUUAUUUUAGUGCUAGAUAAAGUGUGUGUGUCUAUAUAUAUAGACAAAAAAUGAAUGGUUUUCAGUUUACUGACAUUUUUAUCCUAUAAACUGCACGCUUUAUCAUCAUUGUUCUAGUUCUAUUGAUCUCAGAAGUUCCCCCAUACCUUUAUCCAUAUCAUUCUUGAAAGUAUAAAAAAUACAUGUGCAAACUAAUCCAAACCUAAAAUGGCUAUGAAGUCUUAAAACAUAGAGAAGAAAGAUUUAGAUAACCUUUGAAAUUAUUGAAGUUUAUCCCGGUAAACCUACUCAAAACAGCUUGUGAAAGUUGAAUGAUAUUCUGGUGACAAUAACGAUGUUCUGUUUCACAUAAUCACUUAGAUUGCAUUCCGCAGAACUAUUUGCCUAAAGGAUGUGGGCUUCUCUGAAUCCUUUAAUAUGGUACAUGCAAAUAUUGUUGGUAAUAUCAAGGACGGUCAAUUGAAUUGAGUCCAUGUGGUUAUUUUACAUAAUUCUUGGAUAUGGUCUUUGACAAUUUACUUUCUUUGUUCUGCAGUUUUUGCCCAAGAAGGGAGGCACACCAAGGAAAAAUGAAAUCAUAUUCAUUUCUCCGACAGGAGAGGAGUUUAAUAGUAAAAAACAAUUGGAGAAAUACCUAAAAGCACAUCCUGGUAACCCCGCAAUAUCAGAGUUUGAUUGGAGCACUGGUGAAACCCCUAGGAGAUCAGCUAGGAUCAGUGAAAAGGUCAAGGUGGCUCCAUCACCAGAGAGCGAGCCUCCAAAAAAGAGAGGCCGAAAAUCAUCAGGUUCAAAGGACAAAGUGGAAGCUUCUGGUGGAGAAGCUGAUGCUACAAAUGAAAUUCAAAUGAAAGAUGCAGAGGUAGAUGAGAAGAAAGAUGCAGAAUGUGAGAAACAGAAGGAUGCAGAAGCCGAGAAAGGGAAAGAUGCUUUGAAGGAAAAUCAGGUUGGCAAUGGAGGAAAAACUGAGGAAGAAACUGACCAGACUAAGCCAGAGGAUGGUAAGGAUAAGACCCUGACUGAUGCUAAGGAAACUCUAGGUGAGGAGAAAAAGGAAGAUGCAGUAGAGGAAAAACCCGCUGAGGAAGCAGCUGAAAACAACAAAGAAGAUGUACCGCAAGCUGAGGGAGGAAAAGCAGAUGGAACUAGUGACAAGAAACAGGAUGACAUAGCUACUGUGACUGUUGAAGCAAAUGGGGCAGCAGAGAAAGAGAAUCUGGAUGGAACCGCACCUCCUAUGGGCGGAGAGAUCAAAAUGAAACAUGAUGCAGCAGAGAACGAUGGGAAAUGCAAUGCUCAAGCUGAAGAGAAAGUCAAGCCCAAGGAUGGGGAGGUUGUUGAAAAUGGUAAGGUUGAGCAAGUGGCGCAAGCGGAUGCCCCUCUAUAAUUGAGCAGCUGAACAUGCUCUACCACCUCUCCGGUGAGUUGUUGAAUGUUCUGUACCAUUUAUUGCAGUUGGGAUUCUGUUACAUCUCUUGAACUUUGUUUCGCCCCCUUUGUUACAGUGACUCCGGGAGUUAUGGAUGAUUGUAAUGUUAAUGUUGUUAAUGUUAGACUUAACUGUAUCUAGGGAACCAACCGGUCUGGUAGAAUAGGUCUUACUUGUAGAUUCUGCAACUAUGGUUAUGGAGUAGCUUAGAUUGUAGAAUGUAAGAGGUACUUAUUGGACCGGUUGCGUUUUAGUCAUCAGUAGAUGGUCACUUGGUACCAUUUGUUUGUUAACUUGUUCCUUUGUUAAUGUGACUAAAGUUUUAAUUACCUUGUUCUGCUUGUGUUCUGAAAAUUGAAAAUGUUCGGCUGCCGGAGUUUUUGUUUGAGGAGCGCUGUUCUCAGCUGUUUCCAUUUUUUGGAAAGGAAUUUUGUUUUUGCAAAUUUUGAUAAAAAGGCGAGGGAACAUUAGGUACCAUUAGGUACUAGAUUUUGCAGUUUUGCUCUGCUGUGCAGUUUGUAGGGGUUCUGAGAACCACAUUCACCCUAGAUUGGAUAUUGUACAAGUUUAUGCGAUCGCAUAAGGAGGGCAGGGGAAAAAAAAAGGUGUGUUGGACAUUUUAUCCUUUAGUUUGAGUCUGGCAUUUCUGGUACAGUGGACAUGGACUUACAUGAAUGUGUAAGCCCAUUUCCAUUAGGCAGGAAAAUUUUAGACCCAAAGCAUGGUGAGGGUCAAAUGUAACACAACAUUAUGCGUUUUGUAACGCAAGACUUACACACAUAAAUUAGUUUUGCUAUUUGAAUAUGUGCAAAUAUGUGCAUUGGAGGAGAAAACAAGAAAACUCAAACAGACCAGUUUUUUUAACUCGUACGAGUUUGAUCCGAUUUGGAAAACCAGGACCACCAUGAAAAGUGGCAUUAUUGUUUUUUCUUCCCUGCUCGUUAUUGUCCAGAUCUUUUAUCUUUCUAUUACCCACUUUUUCUUCUAUAUUUUCUACCAGCUUGUGCUUCAGCUUAGUAAAGUGAGCGGUCUUAAAUUCAAUGCACAUGAAUGAUGAUGGCAUAUUAAAGCUUGUGUUGAGUUAAUACCCAAUUAGUGAAUGACUCUAUUGUGUGACCUAACGGUCCUAACCUAAUCUCAUUCCCUCCUCUUAAGGUAGAAUAUUGUUGUAGCGAAACAAAGCCUUGAUUUGUAAUACAUUUCCUAUAUUUUUGUUUCACUCUAUCCGCAAUAUAAUUUUGGAGUACGGACACCUCCAAUUUAGAGAAAUGUCUUUCGUACUCUUUUUUCUUCAUUCACACUCAUAUUUGUUUCUGGCCUGUAAUUUGAAUAAAGGGAUAUUUUGGAUGCGGUCCCUAAUCCUUAACAUUCUUUGACUAAAAUCUUAAUGGUAUUCAAAGUUUGAUCAAAGUCCCUUGACUUUAUACAUCUCAUUAUAUUACAAUUAAUAUUAAUAUUUUUAUAGUUUUGGCAAUAAUUGUUUGAUAUUUUAUGUGAUUUAUAAUCCUAUAAAUUUAAAAUCCCUCAUUAUAAUACUAUUAGAAAUGGUUACAAUAAAAAAAUUCAAACAUUUUGAUUGAAUAAAUGGAUAAAAACUGUGUAAAAAUAAGAAAUAAUAAAUGGCAAAAGAAUGUAUCCAUAGUGUUAAAAAAAUUGGUACAUUUUACAAAAAAAUUGGUACAUUUCACAUAUAACAAAGUGGUACAUUAAUAAUAAAGAAUGGGUACAUUAUAAAUAAAUUAGGGUACAGAUAAAAGAUUAAAAAAUUAUGAGUACAAAUGAAUUUUUUAAAAAUAUAGGCGCUAAAAGAAAUUAAUACAUGGGUACAAAAUAAAACUAAAAAGAAAAUACCACAAAUUUAAAAAAAAUGGUGCAAAUUAAAAGUGGGUACAAACUAAAAAUAUAAAUAUAUGAUACAAAGUUUAGGCAUAAAACAUAAAUAUACCAUAUGUAAUUUUUCUAUCAUUGAUUAAAUAUACAAUGUCACGUGACCGUAUACACAUGGAUACAAACACAAAUAAAACUUUAAAAAAUAUGGGCACAAAAAGAAACUAAUAUAUGGGUACAAAUUAAAAAUGAAAAAAAAAAUUGGUACAAAUUAAAAAUAGGUUCAAACCAAAAAUAAAAAUAUAUGAUAAAAAUUUAGCCAUAAAUAUAAAUAUACUAAUUGUAAAAUUUUUAACACUAAAGGAAUAUAUUUAAAAAUAAAAAUAUUUUAUUAUUCAAAUAAUUAAUGAUGUUAUUAAUACCCAAGGACCUUGAUCAAAAAUUGAAAAAUGAAUAGAAUUUUAAUCAAUAAAGUAGUAAAAAGAAGGAUGUGAACCUAAUUUUUCCUUAAAUAAAUUACAAGAAAAUCGACUAAAAGUAUACAUGGUGUGCAGAAGGUGAAAAUGAAUUUGGAAAAAAAAAGAUCAUUUUCCCAAUUUAUGGUUAUGCUCCUUUCCCACGAAAGGUACUACCAUUCAUCCCAAAGCAUAUCAAACAAAGAAAGAUCCUUUAGAGAGAGACAAAAGCUCUCCGAUGGAAACAAGACCAGAAAGGGGAAAAGGCAUACUUACAAUUUGAGAUAGAUAGUUUAAAACUCGAAAAAAAGUGAGAGUAAAGUAAGAAUCUAUACCAUGCCCGCCCCCCACCCCCCAGAAAACAUUUGUCACCUUUGUAGUAAAAUUAAGGUUAAGAAUCUUGGUAUUCUUGUUCACAAGAAUCACAGAAUUGUUUGGACGUCAUCUCUGGACCUAGAGAAGGCUAAGAAUCUACCCUCUUAUGGCAUGCCUGAAGCAAAAGUAUUGCAUCAUCCAAAGGAUCGCUUAUGGGCGGGGCGGUUUCUUGACUGAGGUUGCCGUCGUUGUUGGGUUACAAGAUAUUAUUAUUAGGUCAUCUCCAACAUUCAUUUUCCACAAAAGGAAUGCUUUCAUUGUUAAUAGAUCAUUCACAAAUCAAAUGGAGCUCUCUUUCUUCUGCUUGCUUCUUCUCUUCUCCACCACUACGUUUCUCAAUGGUAAUUUCUUCAUCUUCUGCAUGAAUUUAAUGUAUACUGUGGUCUUUGAUGAACUAUAUGGUCGCAUAGAAAUUAUUCUGUGAUAAUGCAGCACGAUCACGUAGUGUAACCAGUUCGCUUGUUAUAAUACAGGUUCCUCAUGCUAUAUGAAACUCUUGAUCUUAUGUGCUUCAAAGAUAAAUCUUGUAGAUGUUAAUCAAAUGGAAUUUACAUUCUUCGAAUUAUUUUUUGGAUUCCAGUGCUCUAUUGAACUUACAUGCUUUGGUUCAAAGAUCUUGUUUUCAUGUCUCAUGUCUGUUAAAUGAUGUGUGUGACCUUCUCUGGAUCAUGAAUUUUUCUUUGUGUUUAGUGGAUGCAUCUUUUACCGGAACAUACGGAGUAAACUAUGGCAGGCUCGCUGACAAUAUACCGUCGCCUCACAGCGUGGUGACGCUUCUCAAAGCGGCAAAGAUAAAAAACGUCAGGAUAUAUGACGCUGAUCAUGAAGUCCUCACCGCCUUCAAGGGAUCGGGAAUUGAAAUAAUUGUAGGGCUUGGAAGUCAGUUCCUGAAAGAUAUCAGCGUGAACGAGGAUCGCGCCACGGAUUGGAUAAAAGAAAAUGUACAGCCAUACAUUCCGGGAACGCACAUUACUGGAAUAGCAGUGGGGAAUGAGAUAUUGGGGGGAACUGAUAUAGAACUCUCCGAGGUCUUAUUGCCUGCCGUGAAGAACGUUUACAAUGCGCUUAGCAGGCUUAAUAUGGCGACCUCCAUUCAGGUGUCGAGUCCACAUUCGGAGGCUGUGUUCGCGAAUUCUUACCCGCCAUCUGCCUGCAUUUUCAAGGAAGAUGUUGCUCAAUUCAUGAACCCGCUUUUGGAAUUUUUCUCACAGAUUAAUUCCCCUUUUUACAUAAAUGCAUAUCCAUUUCUGGCAUAUAAGAGCGACCCCGAGCACAUUGACCUCAACUAUGCUCUCUUCAAGAAAAAUGCUGGGAUUCAUGAUACAAAAACCAACCUGCAUUACGACAACAUGUUUGACGCAAUGGUUGAUGCGGCGUAUUUUGCUCUGGAGAAGGCUGGAUUUGACAAGACAGAGGUCAUAGUUUCCGAAACUGGUUGGGCGUCUCGCGGGGACGAAAGUGAAGCAGGAGCCAAUGUCCAAAAUGCCAGGACGUACAACUACAACUUGCGCAAACGGCUGUUGAAGAAGAGGGGGACGCCACAUAGGCCAAAGAUGGUUGUGAGAGCUUACAUUUUUGCUUUGUUCAAUGAGAAUUUGAAGCCGGGGCCGACGUCUGAGAGGAACUUCGGAUUGUUCAAAGCUGAUGGGAGCAUUUCAUAUAACAUUGGCUUCACUGGACUUGUUGGACCUUCUGCAGCAUCAUCAUCUCUUCUUAACUACAAGGUAUGAGUUUCAAGACUACUCCUAUCUUUAGUAAUUCAAGCUUUAUUUUUAAAUUUUGUUUCUCAUCUGCCUGAAAAUUUGGUUGUUUUUCAGGUUUUCACAAGUUGUGCAGCUCUUCUGCUUCUAUUGUUAACUUCAUAAUUAGUCUUUUAGGGUUCUUCGAUUAACACAUAUUGUUGUAACAUGAUGUCCAUGUAUAGCCAAUUCCAUUAUUUUUACGUUAUGAUUCCAUUAUCAAGUUAGAUAACAGCCAAUAUUGCUCACUGUUUUCUAAUAAUAUUCCAGCUGUUUACAAUACCUUGUCUCUCUUUUCGUUUUUUUUUUUAUAUAUAUUUUUUCAUAAAAUAACUUAAUGAUUGAAAAAUUCAACGACUGCAUGCAAAAGCAAUAAAGCCAAGCUUGGCAUGCCGUAUAAAGUAUUGAAUAAGACUAAUAGUAUGAAGCCGGUUGUUUAGUUCAUUUUUGUAUUAAAUAGUCACCUGACUAAAUAAUUCGAAUUCACUUGUUUUGUCUGGUCCACACCUGCUACUCCAAAAGGCAAGACUCGUCGAAUUCAAAUGUGAGAUCUUUUAGCAAUCCAUUGUUAAAUAGCCCAGCCUUGGCUUGUCUUUCUCAAAUCCCUUCAUCUGAUUUUCUAGCUUCACCAUGGAACUCUUCCAUCCCUUUCAUGCCUUAGUUCCCAAACUCAAUUUCCACUUUGAGCCUUCGAUGAUUAGGAUUUGGAACCAAGAAACUUACCAUAUCCAUAUAUAUCAUUACAAACAAAGUCAAGUGAAAUAGGGAUAAGCCAUAACCUUUCAAUGGUCACCUUUAUUUCCUUUAGAGCAAGUCCACCGAAGUGGACUUUGCCCAGGAGGGGGAGGGCGUCAGGUAGUCGACAGCUGGCACUCCAUGAUCACGUCGAAUCCUUAUGAAAAUGAAUCCAGAACAAAAUCGCGCUAAAGCUAGGGCGUCACCCGUAAGUGGCGCGCUGUGUGGCCCGAGCACAGUGAUAAGUGAGCAAGGGUCGCUGUAUCUCCAUCGGCACCCGGAUGCAGUGUUAAAUGAGCAAGGGGGCCAUAGAAACUUCUUUUCGAACGACUCCACUCAAAGUUGUUUGGGAGCAUAUGCUCCUAUCAACUUUACCCGGGACACACAAAAGAAGUACUUUGAUCCUAUUAGACGGGGGAGGGUGAAGAAGCUAGGACAGAAGGGUAGAGUUCAAGAGAGCAAAAUGCGUUUAGGAACGUGGAAUAUAGGAACCUUAACGGGAAAAUCUAUGGAAGUAGUGGAAGUUAUGGUGAGGAGAAGGAUAAAUAUUAUGUGCCUACAAGAAACUAAGUGGGUUGGUAGCAAGGCAAAGGAUCUAGAAAACUCAGGGUUUAAACUUUGGUAUUCGGGCACAAAUAGAACGAGAAACGGUGUUGGCAUCAUCGUGGACAAGACCUUGGUACAAGAUGUUGUAGAUGUCAAGAGGGUAGGAGAUAGAAUCAUGGCAAUCAAGAUUGUAAUAGGACAAGAACUUAUCAAUGUGAUUAGUGCGUACGCACCUCAAGUAGGGUUGGAUACGAGUUCGAAGGAGAAAUUUUGGGAAGACCUUGGAGACUUGGUGCAAGGAAUUGCUCAGACGGAGAAGUUAUUUAUAGGAGGAGAUUUAAAUGGACACGUGGGCAGAGAGACAGGCAACUAUGGAGGUUUUCAUGGUGGCCAUGGUUUUGGGGAGAGAAACGAGGAUAGGGAAGCCAUCUUGGAUUUUGCAAUGGCAUAUGAUCUCUUCUUAGCCAACACCUUCUUUAAGAAGAGAGAAGAACAUGUGAUCACCUACAAGAGUGGGUCGUCAAAAACACAAAUAGAUUUUCUUCUAAUGAGGAAAGGGGAUCGUAUAACUUGUAAGGAUUGCAAAGUUAUACCAGGAGAGAGCGUGGCUAAUCAACAUCGCUUAUUGGUGAUGGAUGUACAUAUCAAAAGAGUAAGACAAAAGAACAAGACUUGGAAGUGCCCAAGGACUAGAUGGUGGAAUCUAAAAGAAGAAAAACAAGCCAUUUUCAAAGAGAAGGUAAUCACCUAAUGUGUGUGGGAUAGAGAUGGGGAAGCUAGCCAAAUGUGGGAUUCCAUGGCUAGUUGUAUCCGAAAAGUAGCAAAAGAGGUAUUAGGAGAGUCCAAGGGCUUUGCCCCACACCAAAAGGAAUCUUGGUGGUGGAAUGAGGAGGUACAAACAAAGGUGAAGGCUAAGAAGGAAUGUUGUAAGCCUUAUACAAGGAGAGGACCGAUGAAAAUGGUGAAAGGUAUAGAAAAGCGAAGCAAGAGGCGAAGAAAGCUGUCAGAGAAGCUAAGUUAGCGGCUUACGACGAUAUGUAUAAACGACUAGAUACCAAAGAAGGAGAGUUGGAUAUCUAUAAACUAUCUAGAGCAAGGGAAAAGAAGACAAGGGACCUAAACCAAGUGAGGUGCAUUAAGGAUGAUGAUGGAAAGGUUCUUGCUACAGAGAACGCGGUUAAAGACAGAUGGAGAGGUUAUUUUCAUAAUCUUUUCAAUGAAGGACAUGAAAUGAGUGCUUCUUUAGGGGAGUUGAGUAACUCAGAAGAGUGUAGAAACUACUCUUUUUAUCGUCGAAUCCGGAAGGAAGAAGUGGUUGUAGCUUUGAAGAAGAUGAAGCAUAAAAAAGCAAUAGGCCCAGACGAUAUACCAAUUGAAGUGUGGAAACUUUUGGGAGAGACAGGUAUAACAUGGCUCACUGACCUUUUCAAUAGGAUUUUGAAAACGAAGAAGAUGCCAAAUGAGUGGCGAACGAGCACUUUGGUGCCUAUCUACAAGAAUAAGGGCGACGUACAAAAUUGCAUGAACUAUAGGGGUAUUAAGCUAAUGAGUCAUACAAUGAAGCUCUGGGAGAGAGUCAUUGAGCAUAGAUUGAGGCAAGAGACACGGGUUUCGGACAACCAAUUCGGGUUCAUGCCAGGGCGCUCAACCAUGGAGGCAAUCUAUCUCUUACGAAGAUUGAUGGAAAGAUAUAGAGAUGGGAAAAAGGAUUUACACAUGGUCUUUAUAGAUUUGGAAAAAGCGUAUGAUAGGGUCCCAAGAGACAUUCUUUGGAGGAUUUUUAGAGAAGAAAGUACGAGUAGCAUAUAUCCAAGCUAUAAAGGAUAUGUAUGAAGGAGCAAAGACUGCCGUAAGAACUCAUGAAGGACAAACCGAAAGCUUCCCCAUAACUGUAGGAUUACAUCAAGGCUCAUCCUUAAGUCCUUACCUUUUUGCGUUGGUAAUGGAUGAGUUAACAGGACAUAUUCAAGAUGAUAUUCCUUGGUGUAUGCUUUUCGCAGACGAUAUAGUGUUGAUAGAUGAAACUCAGGAAGGGGUAAAUGCAAAGCUUAACCUUUGGAGAGAAGUGUGUGGAAUCUAAAGGUCUUCGCCUAAGCCGAUCAAAGACAGAAUAUAUGGAGUGCAAGUUCAGUGCAAAUGGAGGCCAAAACGAGUUAGGGGUGAGGAUCGGAGAUCAAGAAAUACCAAAGAGCGACCGUUUUCGUUACCUAGGAUCUAUCUUGCAAAAGAACGGAGAAUUAGAUGGAGAUCUCUCAACCAUAGAAUACAAGCUGGAUGGAUGAAGUGGAAGAGUGCAUCCGGCGUGUUAUGUGACCGCCGUAUGCCACUGAAGCUCAAGGGAAAUUUUUAUAGGACGGCAAUAAGGCCGGCGAUGCUGUAUGGCACAGAAUGUUGGGCGGUGAAACAUCAACACGUACACAAAAUGGGUGUAGCGGAGAUGAGGAUGCUUCGUUGGAUGUGUGGGCACACGAGAAAGGAUAAAGAUUAGGAAUGAGGAUAUCCGGGGUAAAGUAGGAGUAGCCGAAAUUGAAGGAAAGAUGAGAGAAAAUCGGUUACGGUGGUUUGGACAUGUGCAAAGAAGGCCUACUGACGCUCCGAUUAGAAGAUGCGACUAUGGGACAGAGGUUCAGGGCCGAAGGGGUAGAGGAAGACCUAGGAAAACUUUGGAAGAGACUCUAAGAAAAGACUUAGAGUACUUGGAUCUAACGAAGGACAUGACACAGGAUCGAGCACAAUGGCGUUCUAAGAUUCAUAUAGCCGAUCCCACUCAGUGACUUGGAUUUUCCAAGUCUCCAACAGAGAAGUUUUCCUCACUCGGGAAAUUAAGGGAACACUACCCCAACCUACAUGCUCCACUCAGAAAGCUUCAACAUACAAGCUUCAACAAAAGAAAAUUCAAAGAACUUAGCGAAGAAGGCUUUGGUGUUUUUAACACAAUACUUUGAAAUGAAGGAAAGCUUAUUUAUUGAUAUCCCCGAUAAGCUACAAAUAUGUACAUAUACAUGAGUCAAAAAUACAAACAAGACAGAGGGAGCCUUCACAAAGGUUGCUUAGGAGAAGUCUCAGCAGUCGGUAGAGCCCCAGAAAGAGAAGGCACCGGAGGGGGAUCAUUUUGGAGCCUCAGUACUGGACAGAACCCUAGAAGGAUGGAGGCAUCAGAGGUUGAUCAUUUGGAGCUUCAUUACGCGGUACAGCCCCAGAAGACGAAGGCAAUAAAUGCCUUUGGAACAAACCCCACAAAUCUCUGAUGAUCAAGUAAAACCUGACCAUCAGUUUCCUUCAUCUGGUCAAGCUUCCUCUUCAUGUUUGUAGCAUAGUCAUGUGCGAGCCGGUGCAACUGUUUAUUCUCAUGCUUGAGCCCUCUAAUCUCCUGUUUGAGACUCAUCACUUCAGCCGCCAAUGAUUCAACUUGGCGGGUUCGAGCAAAUAGGCGUUGGGCCAUAUUAGACACAGAACCUGCACACUGAACACUGAGAGCCAGCGAAUCCUUAACAGCUAACUCAUCAGACCGUUUGGAAAGUAGUCUGUUAUCUUUGGGAGUGAGAAGGUUCCUGGCCACCACCGCAGCGGUCAUAUCAUUCUUCAUCACGGAAUCCCCAACGGUAAGAGGACCAGUAGGGGAGGACGAAGGAUGGGCGCCAUAUGUUUGUCUGGAGAAGGCGGGGCUGCCUCUUCAACAAGGUUCAAGUCAAAACGACGGUCGGAGGGGCCAGACAUUUUCAAAGGUGUUGAAGAGAGAAGAGGUCGGACAAAUCAAGAUCUUAGAAGUGCAAGAAUGAAGCUUCUACUGGUGGAGAUUCAAGUGUGCUUUGGAACUUAAUGCCAGCCCCUAUAAAAAUCUGCACUCGACGGAGCUUCAGAAAUCGAAGAGGCGCCUGCUCAGAAAUCGAAGAGGCGUUUGCUUUCUCAAAAGCUGGGCUGCUUAGAGAUCACGAGGGUUGAUCUCAGAAAUCGAAGAGGCGUUUGCUUUCUCAAAAGUUGGGCUGCUCAAAGACCACGAAGGCCGAUCUCAGAAAUCGAAUAGGCGCUCGCUUUCUCAAAAGCUGGGCUACCCAGAGACCACGAGGGCCGAUCUCAGAAAUCGAAGAGGCACCUACUUUUGCAGCCUUGUCAGCACCUGUCACAUGCACACUCAGCUUUGCGGAAAUUAUGGGCAUUCUGUCGAAGACUUCUGGGGAAGUAGAAAACACAUGAAUCUUACUGUUCAAUCACCCACUUCCCACACGCAACAAUAGCUCAUGGGUACCACAGAUAACUUUGCCAAAGUUCUCUGCCAAAGUUGAGCACGUGAAGCUUGCAGCUCCCACUACAUCGCUCUGACCAAGAAGGGUAAAAGAAUAGCAAAGAAACAGCACUAACAAAGUUUAGACCCAUAAAUUUUGAAGGUCUAGCUACCAUAUUAUUACCCACAAGGGUAAAGGAACAGUACCACUGCUGGAUAAUUGGAAAGUCUCUGUGUGUCAACCUCUGUGCUUCGUGGCAAGGUAGAUUAGCAAACAUGCCAAACCUUUACUCACAUUCGAGAAAACACUCCCAAUAAGAUUGCUUGCUCCAAAAUCGAAGAGGCACCGUCCUCCGAAUCUCGAGAGCCAGACUCCCAACAUGACUACUUUCUUAAAAAUCGAAGAGAGGGUAAAGGAACAGUACCAUUGCUGGAUAAUUGGAAAGUCCAUGUGUGUCAACCUCUGUACUUCGUGGCAAGGUAGACUAGCAAACAUGCCCAACCUUUACUCACAUUCGAGAAAACACUCCCAACAAGAUUGCUUGCUCCAAAAUCGAAGAGGCACCGCCCUCCGAAUCUCGAGAGCCAGACUCCCAACAACAUGAUUACUUUCUCAAAAAUCGAAGAGACUGCUCCCCGAAUCUUCGAGAGCCAGACCCCCAGCAUGAUUGCUUUCUUAAAAAUCGAUGAGGCAUCGUUCUCCGAAUCAAUCGAAGAGGCGCUCGCUUUCUCAAAGCUGGGCUGCUCAGAGACCACGAGGGCCGAUCUCAGAAAUCGAAGAGGCACCUACUUUUCUAGCAUUGUCAGCACCUGUCACACGCACACUCAGCUUUGUAGAAAUUAUGGGCAUUCUGUCGAAGACUUCUGGUGAAGUAGAAAGCACAUGAAUCUUACUGUUCAAUCACCCACUUCCCACACGCAACAAUAGUCAUGGGUACCACAAAUAACUUUGCCAAAGUUCUCUGCCAAAGUUGAGCACGUGAAGCUUGCAGCUCCCACUACAUCGCUCUGACCAAGAAAGGUAAAAGAAUAGCAAAGAAACAGCACUAACAAAGUUUAGACACAUAAAUUUUGAAGGUCUAGCUACCAUAUUAUUACCCACAAGGGUAAAGGAACAGUACCACUGCUGGAUAAUUGGAAAGUCCCUGUGUGUCAACCUCUGUGCUUCGUGGCAAGGUAGACUAGCAAACAUGCCUAACCUUUACCCACACAUUCGAGAAAAACACUCCCAACAAGAUUGCUUGCUCUCUAAAAUCGAUCGAAGAGGCACCGUCCUCCGAAUCUCGAGAGCCAGACUCCCAACAUGACUACUUUCUCAAAAUCGAAGAGAGGAUAAAGGAACAGUACCAUUGCUGGAUAAUUGGAAAGUCCCUAUGUGUCAACCUUUGUGCUUCGUGGCAAGGUAGACUAGCAAACAUGCCCAACCUUUACUCACAUUCGAGACAACACUCCCAACAAGAUUGCUUGCUCCAAAAUCGAAGAGGCACCGCCCUCCGAAUCUCGAGAGCCAGACUCCCAACAUGAUUACUUCCUCAAAAAAUUGAAGAGACACUGCUCUCCGAAUCUCGAGAGCCAGACCCCCAGCAUGAUUGCUUUCUCAAAAAUCGAAGAUGCAUCGUUCUCCGAAUCUCGAGAGCCAAAUACCACAGACCACUUUUUUCAAAGUGCUUUGACAGAGUUAAAACAUGUGAAACUGGCAGCUCCCACUACCGUGCUAUGACCAAGCAGGGUAAAGGAAUAGCAUUACUACUUGUUGUUAGGAGAGACUCCUAUAUUGUAUGUCGACCUCCAUCCCCAACGGACAGGCAGACCUGCAAAAAUGCUCAACCCUUCAUCAUAUCUGAGAGGGCACUCCCAACGAAGCCUUUCGAAAUAUUCAGCUUUCUUUCCCCCCGAUAAUACCUCUGCAAACAAGCUAUACUAGAGCAAGAAUAUCUCAUAUCAUCAGGGUUAAAAGCAAGAGUAUCCCAUAUCAUGCUUUUUCCCUGUCUUUUCCUUUGGCCUUGUUUUUACCUGCAAGACAAGGAGAAAGAGAGCAAUCAGUCAGCACUUGGAAUCAAGCUUCCAGCCAGGAACGGACUGCCUGGAACCCCUUACCUGAUUACUUACCUGGCAUUGCUCUCGAGUACUCAUCUUCAACAUCUUAUGUUUCCAGGGAAGAUUCCGCAUCUGCUUGAGGAACAGAUAGGGCAAGUGCGAAGGAUACAAGGAAGCAUGUGGAGACAAGCGUAACAGCACACGUGCCGAUACAUCCAUUACUCUGUCAAAAGCAAAAGUAUCCCAUAUCAGCAGGGUGGAACGUACUCUAGAUUUGAUGGACUUGUUUUGACCCUCAAAUUCUUCAGUCGGCCUUAUACUCUGGAGGAAACCAGAAAACCCUUCAGCUCAGUUCAAGAAUAAGCCUGUGGAAAGUUACUUCUUCAAAAGCAAAAGUAUCUCAUAUCAUCUCUUCUCAUUUUUCUUCUCUUUAUCCUUCAUGCUGCUGCAAGAUAGGGAGAAGGUGAACAAUCAGUCGGAGCUCUGAUUGCUUACCUUGUCUGUCACCUCUUUCAGCAGACCCCCUAGCUCGGCGACUUGGGGGACUCCUACUACAUGGUUUGUAUCGCGCUUGACCAAGCCUGAAACUACAAGUAAGCUUCAAGUGAAAUUGAUACAUUACCUUGUGCAUCUCCACCAGUUAAAGAUACCACCCCUGGAUGGAGGAAGAGUACUUCCAGAGAAGAUGCCACAUCUACCUAUGAGACAGAUAAGGCAAGUCAAGACGACACCACACUCCGAUACUUAGAAGUUUUGUGAUUACGAGAUCAUUCUCCCAUAAUAUUUCCUAAUGUCAUUUGUACUAAAUCAUUCACUUGUACUCACUAAAGGAGAGCUUGAACCUAUGUACUUGUGUAAACCCUUCACAAUUAAUGAGAACUCUUCUAUUCCGUGGACGUAGCCAAUCUGGGUGAACCACGUACAUCUUGUGUUUGCUUUCUUAUCUCUAUCCAUUUAUAUACUUAUCCACACUAAUGACCGGAGCAAUCUAGCGAAGAUCACAAAAAGCGACCGUUUUCGCUACCUAGGAUCUAUCUUGCAAGAGAACGGAGAAUUAGAUGGAGAUCUCAACCAUAGAAUACGAGCUGGAUGGAUGAAGUGUAAGAGUGCAUCCGGCGUGUUGUGUGACCGUCGUAGGCCACUGAAGCUCAAGGGAAAAUUUUAUAGGACGGCAAUAAGGCCAGCGAUGUUGUAUGGCACAGAAUGUUGGGCGGUGAAGCAUCAACACGUACACAAAAAUGGGUGUAGCGGAGAUGAGGAUGCUUCGUGGGAUGUGUGGGCACACGAGAAAGGAUAAGAUUGGGAGUGAGGAUAUCCGAGGUAAAGUAGGAGUAGCCGAAAUUGUAGGAAAGAUGAGAGAAAAUCGGCUCCGGUGAUUUGGACAUGUGCAAAGAAGGCCGACUGACGCUCCGGUUCGAAGAUGUGACUACGGGACAGAGGUUCAGGGCCGAAGGGGUAGAGGAAGACCUAGGAAAACUUUGGAAGAGACUCUAAGAAAAGACUUAGAGUACUUGGAUCUAACGGAGGACAUGACACAAAACCGAGCGCAAUGGCGUUCUAGGAUUCAUAUAGCCGACCCUACUUAGUGGGAAAAGGCUUUGUUGUUGUUGUUGUUGUUGUUGUAUAAAUACCUAACCCUCAUCUUCCACCUUACACCACAUUUCAAUAUUUUCUACACUUUCUACCAAAGCUUUCAUAUACUUUUUGUGUGAAAAAAAAUACCAAAAAGCGUGUGGUUGAAGAAUAAAGAGUAUUUGAUGAGUUUAUGUAAUUUCAUUUUAGUGUUUUUUUUUUAUAGUUUAUUUGAUGAGUUUAUGUAAUUUUAUUUUAGUGUGUUUUUUUUUUAAGUUUAUUUGAUGAGUAUGUAAUUUUAUUUUAGUGUAUAUUUUUUUUUAAGUUUAUUUGAAAUUUUAUCCGAAAUUGGUUAAAAAUCUUAUCUGAAAUAAACUUAAAAAAAAAAAAAACACACCAAAUAAAUGCGCUGGGUGCCAGCGCAUUUUUUUAGGGGUGGAGAUGCCUUGGCCUAUUACUGUUCAUUGGAGUCUGUUACUGUUCAUUUGAGUGGAUAAAUGCGCUGGGUGCUGGCGCAAAGUCCUUAGGGGUGGAAUUGCUCUUAAUGUGUUCCAUAGCAUUCAUCCCUUACUGAACCAUCGACAAUGUUCUCCUUGCAAUUUUAGCAUACGUGUUCAACUUUAGGACAGUGUUGAGAUUCUUCAGUGGGUUCUUCUCCAUUGGUGCUCUCUUUGCUCUUCAUCAGAAUAGAGCUUCUGAUGACAGAUUGAACCUUAUUAGAGUUGAUGAUCCUGGUUGAAUCAACUCCAUAGCAUCCUUAAGAAAAUUUGCAUGCUAAAGGGUGGGGGUUUGUCUCCCCCCAAAGAAUUGUACUCAUUUUGCCUGUUCACGGAACUUUGAUAAUUUACAUGUUUUAUGAGAAAUUAUAAUUUUAUUCAAGUCAUUAAUCUUGUUAGAAUAAAGCACUUGAAACUUUUCAUUCUUUGCUUCCUAAUCACGGAAUAAUAUUUAAUUCGACAAAAUCUUUCCAAAAUAAAUCUAAAUCUUUCCAAAAUAAAUAUAACCCUGGAGUAAUGAGUAAUAGAGUAAAACACGAACAAAUUUGCAGGCCAAGGACAGAGCUCAAAGCUCCCCUAGGUAACAUUGAUUUGAAAAAAUAUUACCUCCUAGGCUUGGUGUUCAUAAGGGUUUUCAUUGUGAUAAUGGAAGAACCACAUUUCUUUGACACCAAGUCUAAGCCCAUAAAAAAUGUUUUGCUCCAUACUCACCAUUGUGCAUUGGUCGAAUUAAGGAUGAGAAAUUAUGAAACCUUGUUUGGAAUGUUCUUUGGAGCUUUGACUUAGAUGACCCUUUCUUCUUCCAAAUGACAUGUUGCUUUGUUCAUUCACCUUACCCCAUUCUAGAGAUGAAGAUUUUAAAGAUGCAAUGUGUUGUUGAGAAGAGGCUUCCUUCCAGUUCGAAUUGCGUGUCCGUCAUUAGUGAAUUUUAAACAAAAGUUUGUUAAGGACUUGGUCGCUUACAUGUGGGUUUGAAACACCUUUGGAAUGCGUCAAAGUUGAAUGUUGCCGAUUGGACUACACUUAGCUGGCUUGGCUAAGGCACUUUCGAGUAAGAAGCUUCGUUGGAAUAAAAUUCCACAUGAGGAUUUCCUAGUCUGGGUGCCUUUUUCAGACCUUGUCAUGGUGUUGCAUAAUGCACUUGACUUAGUACGGUCGUCCGAGAUAAAAGUAAUCGUACUCAGGGUUGGGACUCAAAGCCACCCCUCGGAUGAUUCCCGAUUCCAUAUUGCCAUUUCCAUCAUUCCCUCGAAUGGUGUAAAGCCCAGGUUGAAUGUUAUAACCCACAACCCUUAGGUUGUAUAAUCUUUCCGAAAGCCGGAUGGUGCAUUGGACUUUCGAGUCAAGGGGUCAUGUCCCCAUGCCUGUAGCUCGCCGAUCGUAACCGCACUUAAUAUGACUCGAGCCUCCCAAGCUGCUAACCAAACACUACAUAAUGGGCUAAAGGAGACACCUAUGACCCUAUUAGUUUGAAUUUUAAACUUGCGAUUACAUUAAGUUUCAAAGUUGUGUGUUAUUUAAGGAAUUUUAGGGUAUUCCAUUCAAUGCAAAAGAAAAUAACGAACAAACAUGUAGCAUAUGUGAGUAACUCUGAAAACUCUUUCAUUGAAUAAAAAUGGGUGUUUACGAAUGGGGCAUGAUUGAAUCCGAAAAGGAUUACGUAUCCGCGAAAAGGAGAAUCAAAUAACUAGUGUAGUUUCAAAAAAUAUGAGACAAAGUAAAAAAUUGUCAUGGUGAAGCGAUAAAGAGAUAAGGGGAAUCAAAUCGCAAAGCUUAUUCUAGAACGGUUUGGCUCCACUUUUUAUGAAAACAACUUUCAAAUGCAAAUACAUGCUACUUUUAAAAACUGUUGUAUGAAAGCUAUUACGUUUAAAAUAAGCAUGAUAUUUUAUUUUCAUCAAAAACUUUUUACUUCUAACUUAUGUAUAAAGCAUCUUUUUAGCUUACCAAAAAAAAAAAAAAAAAAAAAAAACCAUACGGGUUUAAGCCAAGAAUUAAAGUUUUGAAAUCUUGGAAUUUUGAAGUUUGGGAGGUUCACCAAAAUUUUAGUGACGUUGAAUUAUACCCUGUACAUAUUCUUGAAACCAAUAAUUAAUUAGGAUUUAUUACUUAAAAGAACCCUUAAUUUUGACGUACUAAUUAGAGAAGGUCAAGCAUCAUUAAACAGAAACAAGAAAAAGAAAAAGUGGGAACUUUCCACUUUGUAACUAUGUUCCACACGGAAGACCGACAUGGACCAAGCAAACAAGCAAAGAUGACCGGCUUCACAAUAUGCAUGUUCUCAUUGUUCUUUCUCAAGGCAGCCGCGUAGACUGCAACAAGUCUAACUUGCUUUUUCUUUACUCGUCAGCUUUUCCUUCUCUAUUUAUAGGCUUCAAUUCGAGUAUCCUUGCCACACACUCUCAUCAGUGAUCACCUACAACAACAAUACACAAUUUCCGUAGAAGUAAAGAAAUUUAGUCGAUGGAGAGCAAGAUGGUGAUUGUUUUUGGAUUUGUAGUUGCAGUAUUUUUGCAGAGUGCGGCAGCGCAGACAGGACAUGUGGUGGGAGACAGCAUAGGUUGGACCAUCCCUCAAUCUGGUGCACAAGAGUAUGUCACUUGGGCUGCAAGUAACAAGUUCGUAGUUGGUGAUACUCUGGGUAUUUUCUCUUCUCAUCUAUUUUCCAUCUCCGUCUUCAUUAAAUUAAUUACUUCAUGAACUCAUUAGUGUAAUGCAAACUUCAAAUAAACGAGCUGGACCAAUCAGUUGGUACUAAUAGUGUGCAACUGUGAUUGUUUCGAGGUAACUAUCCAUCAAUUAAGUUUUCUCACAUUUGAUGUUUCUUAAUAAUUUUCCAGUUUUCAACUUCGCCACCAACGCACACGAUGUACAAGAAGUACCCAAAGCAUCUUUCGACUCAUGCAGUUCCGAAAACCCAAUUGGCACAGCCAUCACAACUGGCCCAGCAAACAUCACUCUCACCUCCGCAGGCGACCACUACUACAUCUGCACUUAUGGCCGCCAUUGCCAGUCGGGACAGAAACUAGCCAUCACCGUCUCAGCUGCCUCCCCAGGUGCCGCACCUUCUGUGCCGCCACCGCCCUCUACAACUAACACCCCUCCAACUACCCCUUCCCCCACAUCAAACGACCCUGCUGCUUGUGAACCUGUCCCGGCUCCAUCGCCUUCCAUGAGUGGAGUACCCACCGUGAACACCACCCCUGGGUCGCUGCCUCCGUUGGGUUCUUCUUCACAUGUUGUUUUAGCUAGCUUCGUUUUAUCCUCCUUGGCUCUUGUCGUGGGUUUGUUCUUUUAGGUGCAGUAGACAUCCGCAUUUGGUCAUCCAAUAUUUUUUUGGGGUCUUUUGAUAUGGGUCCAAUUGGACUAAAAAUUGGACCUAUUUCAAAAGAUGGGCUAUAAUUGGGUCUCUUUCAAAUUUUUCCUAUUUUUUUUUAUUUUUUAUAUAUUUUCUUUCUUGAUAGGGCAGGGUAAAUCGUUAUUUAUUUUAAUCUCUUUUUUAUUUUUGUAUCGGUUUUGUAUAACAGAACAGUGAUGAUUUUUUGGAGUGUGCUAUUAAUAAAGGAAUUCUUGUAGUUGAAAAUAUUGUUAUGCACUAUGUUGGAACUUCGAACGUUAAACUUGUCUGUAUGGUGUUAAAAAAAAUCAUUAUACAAAAUACAAAAAAAAACGAGUGUAAAAUGUCUUUGAUACCUUGGUUUUUAAGAACAAACUCAUAAAAUAAAAAUAAAAACUAAAGACAAUAUUUAGUUUUAGUAAAACAUCAAGCAAGACAUGUACACUUAAUUAUUAAACAAAAUUACUGUUUAAGAAGAAAGUUCAUAUACACAAGCACCAAUAUUACCAUGAUGGUCACACCUAUCGUCUUACUCUUAACUGCUAUUGCUGUCACUAUUUUCUCAACUCCCACUAUUCAUUUUACAAAAUACAAAAAACGAGUGUAAAAUGUCUUUGAUGAAGAAAUUAGGGUUUUACUAUAAAAUCAAUUGAUAAUAUGGAAAAUAGCUCAAUAUCUUAUCAGCCCUUGCCUUGGUCUACACCUCAUCGGUGUGGGUCAUUUUGUCCUCACAUUAUUAACUCUCAAUAGGCCCCCUUAUGUGUGACUAAUUUUUAAGCCUACAUGUGGACAACAAAUUGGGUGAUGUGUGAAAAUGUGCGGCCCUUGAGCUUUCACAUAAGGGUCAACUUGACUUUGAUACCAUGAAAAAGUCGGUGUUCUACCAUAAACCAAUUGACAAUAUCAAGAGUAGCCCAACAUCUUAUAAGCCUUUGCAUUGAUCUAUCCCACUGAUGUGGGACAUUUUGUCCUCACAUCAUCAACUCUCAACAUUUGAUAUGUUGGUUUUUAAGAACAAACUCAUAAAUGGAAAAAACCAAAGACAAUACUUAGUUUUAGUAAAACAUCAAGCAAGACAUACUUAGUUAUUAAACGUUAUUGUUUAAAAAAAGAAGAAAAAAAGAAGAAGAAAGUUCAUAUUCACCACCACCAUAGUUAUUUAGUACUACGGUUUAGUGGUAUUCCUCUUUAUUGGUAAGUGAGAGGUCUUAAGUUCGAUUCUUGCCAAAGACGAAUUUGAACCAUAUUAUUGCUAGCCCAUUGUGAGGCUUAACCCAUUCUCCCACCCCUUAGUGUAGAUAAUAUCGUUGUUCAAAAGAAAAGAAGAAGAAAGUUCGUAUAGACACCACCACCAUAUAUAUUCACCAUAUUCGUCAACCUAACAUCUUAACUGCUAUUGCUGUCACUACCAUUAUUAUCUCAACUACCACAAUCCCCACCACUAUCUCACCACCGCCUUCACCAUAUCUCCGUCGCUAUCAUCCACACCACCUCUCAACCACCAUUGUUGCCACUACCAUUCUUCGCCACCAUCAUCACCGGUGAUGUGAGCAUUCCUACUACCAUUGCCCCUCCCAUUCAUGGACGGAGUUAGAGUUUUUUUUAGUGGAAGAGACCUUAACAUCUACUUAUACUUAAGAAAAAAAAAAUUAUCAUAAUAAAAUAUCGUCUAUAAUUUCAUUUGCUUUUUCUUUUUCCUUAAACUGCACAAAGCCACAACUUCACAACUUGGAGAAAUGCUUUUACAAUGAUGGGCUAUUUCAGAAUAUAAACUGAAAGUAGUGCAAUUAUGGCAAGUUCAAUCUCCACAUGUCUUUUUAUAUGUGUUUCAUUAAAAGGAGCAUAAAUAAUAUAAUCAAUAUGUUAUUUGCAUGUCACUUAGUACUAUGGUCUGGUAGUAUCCUCUUCACUUGGAAAUGAGAAGUAUUAGGUUUGAAUCUCGUGAUGACGAAUUCGAUAUCAAAUUAGGUUGUCCAUUGUGUGGCUUUGUCGAAUUCUCUUUUUCCCUUAGUGUAAAAAUAUCGAUGUACUAAAAAAAAAUUUAUUUGCAUUGCACCUUCUAUAAUAUCAUAAUUUUUUUUUCUCACUAAACUUAGGUGCCUCCAGUGAUCCUUAGCUGCCACCAUUCAUGUCCCCACCCCGCUAUUAUCACCACUCAUAUCCCACCAUUAUUGUUACCACCACCACUGUUUCUAAUUGCACAACCCUCGUUGCAAUCAUCUCCACCACCAUCCCAUCAUCUUAAAAUAUAUAUUACAAAACAUUAUCAUCAAACACGAAUUUCUUUUAUUGACAUUUAUAUAUCGAUAAACAAAGACGUCUAAUGUCUUCCUUGUCCAAAUAUAAUUCCCAGAUUAAACUCCUAGACGAAUUCUCGAUGUCUUUUUACUGCUACAUUUUCAGUUGGCUGGACGGGAGCUGGGCCAUGUCACCUACUACUUUAACGGGCUUUGUUUGUGUUUGAAUUUUUUAUCCUGUAAGCUGAAUGGAAAGACAUGAUAUGAUGUGUUAAAAUAAUGAGUUAACACGAACCAACAUCACGACCCAUUUGUCAGGUCCAUGUAGAGGAAAAUGUGAUUUGACCAAAUUUAUUGUUGUUAAAAAUUAAAAUCUCCGCGCUUUUGAAGAUUACAAUAUUGAAAUAGGAAUGUAAGUUUUCCUAGUUAUGGAAUCCCUUUCUAUUGAGUGAUCUCUCAAAAAACUUAUUUGAUGAGCAUAGGUACAUUUUGAAGAAAUUUAAUUUGUUUUAUGGUGGAAUUUUAUCUGAGUAUGUUGUCAUGUGUAAGAAAGCCCAACAGCCUGGCGUGCUUCAGGUCAUCCGAUUUGUGUUGUCCAUGUGUUAUACUUGAAAAUUUGCCAUCCAUAAGGUGUUAUCCCACAUUGGAAAAAAGAAGACCUUGCAUGUGCUUAUAAGCAAGUUAGGCUAUUCCCAUACACCUCCUAUUCAUUUUACCUCAACUUCUUCACAUUCUACAUUGUAUUGCAAUGAUUCAAACAAAUUAUUUUUCAAAUUGUUGUUGAAAAUUUGUUAGUUUGUUCAGUGAGCGUGGAGGGCCAAAACUGUUAGUUUAAAACUCGGUAGAAGUUGGUUAAAAGGGAAGCAUUGUAUCAGAAAGCUUGUUCAUUUGUUGUAGAUUGAUCUUUCGUAAUAAUUUCUAUUUUUUUUUUUUUACAUAAGAGUGAAAAUUGAAGCCAAGGAAAGCUCCAAAAUCCUGGAAUUUGGAAGUUUAGGCGGGUCCCCCAAGUUUAUCACGUUAGACUAUACGACCAUGUACAUCACAAGAAUUCUUCAACCCGAUAAUAAUUAGGUUAUUACUUUAAGAACCUACUAAUGAGAGAAAGUCGAGCAUCAUUAAACAGCAAAAAGAAAAAGAGAACAAGUCUUUUCAUGAAAUGUAGUAUGAUAUGAAAGAAGGUUGGAACUUUCCACUUUGGGUCUCGGUACAACAUAAUAGACUAGAAUAGUCUAACAUGCACCAGAAAUCAAAGUUAAGAUGACCGACUUCCCAUGCAUCUUCUUAUUGUUGUUCAAGGCAGCCGUGUCUAAGACUCUACCAAGUCUUGCUUUUUCAUUACACUCUUCAGCUUUCCCUACCUCUCUAUUUAUAGGCUUCAAUUCAUGUAUCCUUGCCAUACACUCUUAUCAGCGAUUACCUAAAACAAAUCAAUUUGCUUUAGUAAUCACAGCCUCCUACACAAUUUUCCUAGAGAUAUAGAGAGAAACAGAGCUAGAUAGAUGGAGAGCAAGAUGGUGAUUGUUUUCGGUGUAGUUGUGGCUGUGUUCCUGCAAAAUGUUGCAGCACAGACGGGACAUGUGGUGGGAGGAAGCAUAGGUUGGACCAUCCCUCAAUCUGGUGAACAAGAGUAUGUCACUUGGGCUGCAAGUAACAAGUUCGUUGUUGGUGAUACUCUCAGUAAGAUUCGCUUCUCUUCUGAUUUCCAUCGUCUUCUUCAUUAAGUUAAUAACUUCGUGAACUCAUUAGUGUAACACUCUUCUUCAAAUGAACCAGCUAGACAGACCCAGUUAGGACUCCGCAUUUACUGAUCACAUUAAUACAUAUAUAUAUAUAUAUAUGUAUAUUUGAAGUGAAUCCACGAGUAUUUCUGUAAAAUAAGAGCACAUGAUCGACAAUAAUUAUCAAAUAAAGUUUCAAUUAAUUUCCUCUAGCCUUGAAAUUAUUCCAAGGUAAACUAUCCAUCACUCAUGUUUCUCACAUUUGAUGUUUCUUAAUUAUGUCUCCAGUUUUCAACUUCGCCACCAACGCACACGAUGUACAAGAAGUACCCAAAGCAUCAUUCGACUCAUGCAGUUCGGAAAACCCAAUUGGCACGGCUAUCACAACUGGCCCAGCAAACAUCACUCUCACCUCUUCAGGCGACCACUACUACAUCUGCACUUAUGGCCGUCAUUGCCAGUCGGGCCAGAAACUAGCCAUCACCGUCUCAGCUGCCUCCCCAGGUGCCGCACCUUCUGUACCACCACCACCCUCUACUACUAACACCCCUCCAACUAGCCCUUCCCCUACAUCAAAUGACCCUGCUGCUUGCGCACCAGUCCCAGUUUCAUCACCAUCCAUGAAUGGAGGAGUACCCACCGUGAACAUCACCCCGGGGUCGCCGCCUCCGCUGGGCUCUUCUUCACCUGCUGUUUUGGCUAGUUUCUCUUUGUCGGCCGCUGCUCUUAUCGUGGGUUUGCUCUUUUAGUUACCAUGAAGACAUCGCCGGUCCUAAUUAAUUACUAUAUUGGUGAUCCAACCUUUUUUAUAUUGUCUAUCUUGAUAGUACAAAAGUAAAUGGAAUUUGAUCUUAGUCUCUCUUUUGUUCUAAAUAAUUUUGUAUCUGUUUCUUAUAACGAACCCGUACAGGGUGAUUUUUUUUAGUAUACUAUAAAUAAAGGAAUUCGUUUGUUCAAAAUUCUGUUCUGCAAUGAAGAAAGAAGGAAUGUUUUUCUGCCAAAUGGUCCUAUAGUCAAUGCUAAUCUUAUGGCACAUGUAAUAUGAUCGUCCAUUUAACUCUUAGAACUUUUUUGUGAACGUCUGUCCUCUCAAUUUCGUAUCCAUAACAUACAUGCACAAAAAGAGAUAAAGUUCACAUGUAAUGUAAACUCUCAUAAUAAGCACGUCCACCUUUCCUUUCAUGGAUUUGAUCUUGAAAUUGUCUCUACAAACUGUAAUGAAAAUAAAAAUUCCCGAAGUAUUGUGACAUCAUGUGCUUCGGACCUCAAGUUUGAGAUGUAAGCGUACAACAAGGGACUAACAGAAGUUUUUGAACAUAAUUUGGUUAAACCCAUGAACUUUUUGAUCAAUAAAGCAGCAAGAAGAGAACAUUAAAGAAUUUCUAUUCGUCACAAAGAUUCCGUUAAUCGUCUCAGUUCCUAGAGCUUUUAAGGAGAAAGCUUUGAUAAUCUCUUCGCUGUUUCGAAAACUUCUGCAAAUUGUGAGGGGGAUCUGAAACCAUCAUUUGCCGUAGUAAUAAAUUCUCCAACAUAAAGGUAAAUAUAUAGGGCUACAAAAUGUGCUAAGAAAUAUGAAAUACAAUAAAGAAUUAGAAUAGGACUAUACAAUGGGUAAUAAGUUAGGCCAUCUCUAACCGAAAAUGCUAAACAUAGCCUUAUUCAGAAUUAUAGUCCUGCAAAAAAAUAUUUUUAAAUGAAUAGUAUCAGAACAUACUCAUAUACUAUCCAAUCCAACCGAAUGGAAUAAAACAUAGUCUCCUCAAUAAUUUAUUAGUUUUAAGUUUGUACCUUAAAUUUAUUAGUUAAUUUAAUUAAACUAUCGUUGGAUAUUUCAAAUAUAACAGUUAAAUUUGAAUAAAUUAUUACAAAUGAGGAAUUGGGCUCCAAAAAAAGGGCUAAAGCCAUCUCCAAUGGAGAGGGUUAAAUGGCUAAAGGGCCAAAAAAUGGCCUGAUUUGAAUAAAAUCCAACUCUAACCAAAGGCUAAGCUAAAAAUUAAUAGAGCCCACCAGGCCGAAACAUAGUCAAAAGGGCAUCAGGCUGGCCAAGUUUGACUUGACAACCGGCCGUUUGCUGGGCCAAGCAGCAAAUCCUGAGGCCACUUUUGGAAGAAUCCAACGGCUACAAAUUAUAUGGGCAUCAGGCUGGCCAAGUUUGGCCUGAUAGCCAGCCUUUUGUUGAACCUAGCAGCAAAUCCUGAUGCCACUUUUGGAAGAAUCCAACGGCUACAAAUUAUAUUAUACAUCUUUCAAGAAUAUGGAUGUCAUGUCUGGGAGAUACGUAUACGACCAUUAAUAAAAAACUUGGUCUGUUAUUAUAAUCAUGAGGAUUAAUAAUUAAUCUUUUAUAUUAUUACUGAUAAAUUGUUGAAAUUCUUGUGAAAAAUCUUUUUAAGUGUCAUUUAGUGAAAGAAGUUGUCAUUUGCAGGUGGUCCUUUAUCACAGUUGUGAAGCCUAAAAUAAUUCCAAAAUUUUUUAAAGGCGACGCGUGAACUUUUGCUCAAGAAAGACAAGUUGCCCUCAAUAAAUGGGCAUGCUUCUCAAAUGCUCCCACGCGCAGCUCACACCCCUAAAGGUCCCAACAGCUAAAUACGAUUGCCCACAGCUCACAUGCCCUUGGCAAGGAAAAUUCAAAGCAUUAAAGAUAAGAAUUAAUUACCUAAAUCUUAUCUUUAAUACAUUCCCAAUUAAAGAUUGACUCUAAUCAGGUAAGUAAUCCCAUUUAAAAUCAAUUAGGGAUAAUUACUCCAUAUCUCAAGAUAUUAUUUUCUAUUUAAUAUCUUGAUAAUAUUUCUCCAUAAACCCUAACACUAUGGCCGACCAAAUACCUAUAAAUACCCCAUAUUCUACCAAAUUUCGGUAAACUUUUGCUACCUUAUAAAAGCCUUAAACACUUUAUUCUCCUCAGAGAAACUGACUUAGGCAUCGGAGAUCCAUUGACCUAAACCCCCUAACUUGUGGGCGCGUGAGGCUUAGGUCCUUGAUCAAAGGUGUUAAUUGUUUUUCAAGUGCAGUUUCAUCUAGACUGAAGGUGGAAAUUUGCAUCGACAAAUUGGUACUUUUAUUGAGAGCUGAUUCAAAUACUCGAAGAAGCCUCUUGCAUUUGGUUUCUUGAAUUUUCUAUUACAUUGAAUUUUUCACAUGUCGUAUCAAUUAAUUUUCGUAGAAAAGUUUCGUGAUCAAUCCCUAGAGAAAUGAUACAAUGGUAGGAAAUUCAGAAACCACGACGAACGGAACGCCGUACAUACAAGGAUUUGGAUCGGAGAGUGGAGACGAUGAUGUAGCCCUACGACGGAAGUCUUUAAGACUCAACGCGACGGCAGGAGGGGCCCUACCGCCGCGGAGCCGCAUCACCACCACCUUUGUGACCCAACAGCCACGAAAAGGCCACCAGGCCACAGCCUAAGUUCCACCAUCGCUGCCCUCGAAGCGCUGCAACCCACAAAACCCUGGUCAGGAGGCCUAGGUCUAACCAGUGGUCCACGAGCAUGAGGCUCAAGGCUUGGCAACUAUCACAGCAAGCCCAGGGCAGAAGGCUUAGCCCACUGCAGCAACUCAGUUGCCAACUAGUGAGCAUAGGCACUUCAGGCCCAGGCCGAUUCUUAGGGUACCUGGUAACCCAAUGAGGAAUCGAGGCUUAUCCAAGGUAAAUUAGAGCAAUCUUGGACAUGAAGUCUCCUACAACUUUGAAGGAGAUCCAAAUUCUGACUAGACGAGCAGCCGCACUUAAUCGUUUCCUCUCGUUAUUCAUUAACCGAUGUAAGCCAUUCUUCAAGGCAAUCAAAAGAGUGCAGAAUGACAAAUGCGACGAUGAGUAUGAGAAAACAUUUUAGAACCUGAAGUAGUACUUGACAUAACUUCCACUAGUAUCUAAGUCGGAAGUAGCAGAGAACCUGUACAUCUAUCUGGCAGUAUCAGAAGUAGCAGCAAGCUCUGCCCUCAUACGAGAAGAGCUGGGGGCCCAACUGCCUGUAUUAUAUACAUCCAAAGCUCUCCUCGAUGCAGAAACCAGAUACCCGAAGAUUGAAAAACUAAUUUUGGUGCUAGUUGUUGCAUAUCGGAAGCUUAGACCUUACUUUCAAGGGAAUCUGGCCAUUGUCAUCACCCAGUACCCACUACGAUCAGUUUUGCAUAGACCAGAUGCUUCUCAACGAGUGAUGAAGUGUGCGUUGGAACUUGGCCAAUACAGCUCAACCCCACACAUGGACAAAAGCCUAAACAUUGGCAGACUUUACAGCAGAAUUCACCCUAAGCCUGAAGGAUGUAGCAACUCAACCCAAAAGCAUCCCGGAAGCAGCCAAGUACACUGUAGCCGCACUAGCCCCACCUGCAUGAGAUUUUUGUUUUUUGCACGUCGAUGGAUCAUCCAACUACCAGGGAUCGAGAGUAGGCCUAGUUCUUACUACCCCGGACUGUUCGAUGCUCGAGCAGGUGAUCAUUCUAAGCUUCAAGGGGUCAAACAAUGAAGCAGAGUAUGAAGCCCUACUUGCAGGUCUCCGAUUAGCAAAAGACCUAGCGAUGAAGAAGCUCACGAUCUAUUCCGAUUCCCAGCUAGUCACCAACUAAACCUCAAGGGAGUACGUAGCGAGGCAUCCAAGGAUGGCUCGAUACCUCGAGAAGGUACGAGAGCUGCUGGCGACAUUCCAGGCGUACACACUUACUUAGGUUCCACAAGAAAAAAUGCCCAUGUAGACACACUAGCAGGCCUAGGCCCCGCCUUAGACCAUCAGCUCAAGCGCUCUCUCCUAGUCGAGUACUUGGAGAAGUCGACCAUAGAUAAGGAACCAGCAGUCGAGGUGGCGUAGAUCAACACAAAUUUGAGUUGGCAAGAUCCCAUUAUUGACUACUUAGUCAAUGGAACGCUCCCCGCAGACAGACUGAAGUCCAAGAAACUCCAGAUGAAGGCAGCACGCUACUACAUGUGGAACAACAUGCUCGUUCGAAGAUCCUUUUCAGGACCGCAUCUCUGUUGCUUAUCGCCUCCUGACGACCUAAAGAUUCUUAGCUAAAUCUAUGAAGGCGUUUGUGAAAACCAUUCAAGAGGCCACUCCCUGGUGCAAAAAGCUUUUAACUCUGGCUACUACUGACCAACCAUGCAUCAAGACGCCAAAUAGUAUGU
rnacentral:lncRNA from 1 species